GAAUCUUAGGAACUUUAGGUAAUUCUGGCUUUGGUAACUCUGGAACAUUGACUUUUGUGGGUUUUUGCAACUCAGACAACUUUGGCAACUCAGAAAAUUUAAGAAAUUCAAGCUUCGGUAACCCCGAAACUUUGGGUAAUUCAGGCUUUGACAACUUAAGCAUUUUAGGUAUUUCAGGUUUCGGGAUUUCUGGCUACUCAGGCUUUAGGAGUUCAAUCUUUGGGAAGGAUGAUAUCUUAGGCAACUCUUGUUAGAGUAACGUAUAAAGGUGGUUAGUCUGUUAAGUUUGUUAGUAGCAGUUAAUGUGUUAGUUAAUACAUGAAAGUGUUAGACUCAGCUAUAUAAACAUAUGCACACUAUCCCUAUCAAAUGAAAUUGAAUAAUAAAAAUAGUUUUCUUGAAAUGUCAUCUUUGUAUAGUUUAACAACUUUGAUCUAGGAAUCUUUGAUAUAGAUGUCUCUAAAAGACGUCAGGCACCAACCAAAACCGUGUUGCUGCUCAUCAACGACAAAGUGAUGAAUAAAAAUAGAAGAACAAAGAAAAGAAAAUGAGGGUGAGCCAUGGUUAAGAAAAUCAGAUACGAGAUAACAACGAGUUCUUCAAAAUGAACACUUGGAAGUGUGCUUGUUUAUGCAAUUUGCUAAUGGCCCUUUCAUAGGUAUUGGGAAGUGAAGAACACAAAAUUUGAAGGUGUUUGGUGAGAAACUCUAAAUUUUGUUAGCUCAACUUCUCGCCUAUUCUUUAUUGAAAAUUAUUACAUAUGAUAUGUAUGAUGACACGUACUACCAAUAUAAAUAAUUAAUUAUAAAGUAAAUUUAUUAAUUGAACAAUCAAUUAACAUGCUCAUAUUAUCAAAGCAACAAAUGUUAUAGCAAUUUUAGUAUAGUCCUUGUUCAAAUAUUAUAGCAAAAUAUUUUACUGAGGUUAACGGGCAAAAUAAAGAAAUGAAAUUGCAACAAAUGUUUUCAAAAUAAAGAAUUUGAGUUCAUACUUGGUGGGAAAGGUUGAAGUUUUGAAUAUUGAAAGUUCGGAUUUGAGUUUUACCAUCUACAAUUAUAGUGUAUGGUUUUUUUUUCUCAUUUUGUGUGUAAGUUUUGUCCGAUUCUUUCUAGAUUAGUCUGACAUUUAUCUAGUUCUUUGUCGACGGUGGAUUAAAUUAGUUGAAUUCUUCAUUGUAAUCGAUUCACCAUAUAUAUAUGUAUACUUGUGUUACACUUUUAAUUUGUAUUUGUCAUGUAUUUGUAAUUGUAUUAUCUUUAUAGUAAUGAUUUUUAAAAAAAAAUAGGGUUAAGCAAAAACUAUUCAAAAUAUUUUAAUUCAUAUUUUCACUAGAAUAGGAUUGAAAGGGAAACUUUAGAAUACAUAAAUUUUUUAGGAAAAAUUUAUUAGCUUGAAAAGAUCAACUCGAGAUUGCCGAUAGAGAAGUUGAAUUGGCCUUUGAGAUGUUGUGGUGAAAGUAAUAAGAAUUGUGCAACAAAGAACACAAUGAUUUAUAAUGUUCAGCCCCAAUUGUCUACUCCACUACUUUAGUUUACCACAAUUAAAGAUUUUCCCAAAUUCAUUACUUUGGUAACCUUUGAGGACAAGGUUUAACCUUACAAUUCUCUUAAGAUUGAUGCCCCAAGAUCUUAAGAUUGCACUCCUUUAAGGUUUCUACCUAAACCUUAAGAAUUAACCCUCUUUCAAAAAGAACAAAUAAGCAAACUAAGAAGUAAUUCUUACAAGAUUAGAAUAUUUGUCAAUUAAGCACUAAUUAAAAAAAACGCUUGAGCUAAAUGAAUACAAUGAAAGCUUAUAAAUAUUUACAAGAAAAAGUAUGAAAGAAUUAAACUCUUAGGUUAUUUUGAUUGAUCUUUAAGCUUUUCACAUGUCUCUUAUUUUGUAGGAGCUUUCAUUGUUAAAAUCCAAAGAGCAUUCUCAAGCUUUUCAAAGCUUUCAGCCACAAAUUGAUAGGUGAAUUCAAUCCAUUUUCUUGUAUUUUGUUUAUAGAUUUGAGGUCAUGGGAGCUUGAUUUAGUUUGCCCAUGUACUAAUUUGUAAGACUGCUAAAAUUUUGAAAAUUACCAUUGUUGAUAAUUAGUUUAAAUUGGUGUGAAUUUGUUAGAAAUUAAGCUUAGAUUAAGAAAAUGACUAAAUUCUAAAUUUACUUACGAUACUUAGUUGACAUUCAUAAAAAGUAUCUAAUGAAUUAUGAGUUCAAUACAUCCUGUUUAGCAGAAAGGCGGAUAUUCCUUGCUCAUUAUCAGACAAUCACUUAUUCACAAACUUCGUGUGGGGCUAAUAGUUUUCAUUUCCCGUCUCGUGGAAAACCCUUUUUGCUCCGCUUAGCCCUAUCUCCCUUUAGGGGUAUUUUAGUGAUAGGUUCUAUAGGAACCGGACGAUCUUAUUUGUUCAAAUACCUAGUGACAAACUCCUAUGUUCCUUUCAUUGGCCUACGAAAAGAUCGCUUGGAUUUAAGAAAGAGUCGCUUGGAUUUAUCCAUGAUUUCUUUAUUCCUUAUUUCUAAUAUUUCUAAAAAGAAUCCUAUCCCUAUCUCUAUUUCUAAAAUCCUAUUUUGAAAAUUCAAAUUAUAGAAUUAAUAUAAUAAAUAGGAUUUGGUUUGUUUAUUUUAUUAUUAUUUAUCAUUUCGAUGAGAUUGAUAUUUAAAUAUUUCUUCUUAGAACGUAUUGAUUUGACCCCAUAAGCGGGACCACCACCCCAUAGCAUGUUGCUGCCAAAAGCAGAACCCCGUAUUUCUUCUAGAGACUCUAGAUCCCAAUAUACCCAAUGCCAGAUAGCUGCCAAGAAGCACAAGCCAGAAAACACAAUAUGUGCUCCGGCCACACCUUCGUAACUCCAAAUACCCGGAUUUGUUAUAGUCCCCCCUGUAAUACUCCAACCACCCCAUAGAAUGAAAAAUGGGCAAUCCUGAGCCAAAUCCUAUUAUUUUAUUAUUUUACGAAAAUAAACAUGAACAAAGGUUCAGCAAGCGAGAAUAAGAAAAAAAGGAAAGGAUAGGUGCAGAGACUCAAUGGAAGCUAUUCUAACAAAUGGGGUUGACUGUUGGUAAAGGAAUCCUUAUAGGUCGGAACAAGUUGAUAGGAUCCCCUUUUACACCCCCGGGUCCCUCCUAUGUGGCGACAUGGGGGCGUAAAAAGGAAAGAGAGGGAUGGGGUUUCUCUCGCUUUUGGCAUAGCGGGCCCCCAGCGGGAGGCCCGCACGACGGGCUAUUAGCUUAGUGGUAGAGCGCGCCCCUGAUAAUUGCGUCGUUGUACCUGGGCUGUGAGGGCUCUCAGCCACAUGGAUAGUUCAAAGCUUAAUUGUUAGUUUCAUACAUUAGGGACCAAAUUGAAUAAAAUGCGAAACCAUCAUGAAAUGUUGGUAAGGGGUAGAAAAUAGAAUCUGAUAUAGAUAUAAUUAUUUAAUGAACUCGAAUUAUGAGAGCAAAAACCAGAGUAUCUGUUCGUCGAUGACUUUGGAUUUCCCUUUAUUUUGAGAUGGUCUUGCGUCAUCUUUAGCUACAAAAUUAAAUCUGAUAUAGAAAAUUCAUUAUUCAAAUAACUCAAACACAUGUCAACUCAUUAUAUACAUGGAUGCAUUUUAUUCAAUUUAAUUCCUUCUAACGCUAAUAUCCGAAAUGACCAUAACUUUCGGUCUCCUUUAUCGAAUUAAAAAUCGAUUUCACAUUUCUUCAUAAGGGACCUCUAGUUUCCACUCCAUGAUGUAACAUCCCGAAAUAGGGCUUAAACGGAAUAGUGAUUGUGAAACCACAAAUCCGAGGUAGAAAAAUUUAUUUUAUUAUUAUUUUGAGGUUCAUGGUAUGAUUGCAUGAUUGUGUGAAAAUUUCGUGAUGAAAUUCUAUGCAUAAAGUGCUUAAGUUGAGGUUAGGGACUAAAUCGAAUAAUUUGCAAAACUUGCAUUCUAGAAGUUUUUGGUAUGAAAUUACUUUGGAAUAUUAACUAGGAGGGUUUAAAUAACAAUUUGACCAAUUUUAAGUUCAUGGACAAAAAUUAGGACAUGGAAGGAAUUUUUGAAAGUUUAGUAAGGAGGGGUAAUUUGGUCAUUUGGAUAUUAAAUGAAUUAAAAAGGGGAAAAAUAACACAAAAAUGGUCAUCUUCUCAAUUAGUUUCUGCCGAUUUUUGCUCUCCUCCAUAGCUGGGGUUUCUUCAACUUUCAAGCUUCAUAGUAAGUGAUUCCAAGCCCCGUUUUUAAUGAUCUUUACGUUUUUGGAGUCCCGGUAACUUGAUUAAGCUUAUUCUAGCAAUAAUUCAACCUAGGGUUCAUAUUUGGAAAAAUACCCAUGGCUGAAAUUUGUGUAUUUUGGUGUUUUAUGAUAGAAUAUGAGGUUUUAAAUUAUGUUAAACAACUUAUGCUACUCGGUUUUAAGUGAAAACGAGUAAAAGGGCUUAAAUUGGAAAAAAAUACCAAUAGUCAUAAGUAUAUGUUAGAGUGUGAUUUUGAUAUUGCCAUAGAAGGGAAAAAUGAUCAGCAUGUCAUAAAACAUAAGAAAAUAGGAUGAAGUUUAAUUUACGAGCCUUGGGGAAAAAGUGCAAAUAUGUGAAAGUUUAGGGGUAAAAAUAUAAUUUUGCAAAAGUUUGGGUCAAGGACUGUUUUAAUAAAUGUGAAUAUUAAAUAAGUUAAAUUUGCUAUUAUAGAUCAAGAAGAACGAAAUUCGAGAGUAGAUCGGGGAAAAGAAAAAGUAAAGGACUAAAUUGUAAAGUUUAGUCACAUUUUGUAUCAAGGUAAGUUACAGUAAAUAAAUGCCAUAUUCUUUUAUUUUACAUUAUUAUUGUCAAUUUCCAGCAUUUAUAUAUUUAUGUUAUGAAAAUAUUUAAAGUCGAAUUUAAGGCGAAGUGACAGAGGAAAAGUGUUAGAAAGCCCCGGUUGAACCCUAGGAAUGUUAGGAUAUUAGGGUUGACAGGACAGAACAGAAAUGAGCCAUGUAAGUCCAUAUUAGAAAUAUGGCUUUGGAGACAGGAUUGAGCCAUGUAAGUCCAUAUUAUAUAUGGCAUUGGCAGGAUAUUGAUAGACAGGAACGACCCUAGUGUCCUUAGUAUUCCGAGUGGUUCAACGGGUCAGGAUACGAGUUAAAUUACAGUGAAUUAACAGCAAAGGAAAAGUAGAUUAUACUUAUGAAAAAGGAAAAGUCAGGUAAAAAAGAAAGUAAGGGAAUAAAGAAGAAGAUAGAAAUUGAGAAGUAAAGAAAUUUAUGAUGUUAGAUGAUAUUAUGCAUAAUUAUCCAUUAUGUUGAAUGUUGUGAUUUAUUUUCUUGUAAGCUUACUAAGCCUAGUGCUUAAUCUCUUUAUUUUCUUCUUCUUAUAGUACUUAUCUAGUCACUCGGGGAUCAAAGGAAACGUCGGAGGCCGAUCACACUAUCAAAGAAAUAACUCGGUAUAACUAGACGUUUUGUUUUGGGUAUGGCAUGUAUAGAAACUUAGCUACUUUUGGUAUAAUAUGAACAAUGAAUGAUGUGUAAAUACUUGCUAGUGAUUAACUAAUAAAAUAGCCGAUGAUAUACAUGUUUAUUAAUAUGUAUGAUUGAAUGAUGAUUAUCACAUGAAAAUUAUGAAAAAUGUGAAAGUAACCUAAAAACAGAUUCAAGUAACAGAAAUGACGUAACUUUGAAAAAUCACUAAAAAUUGUAGAAACAUAGUUUAAAGAUGAAUAAUAUAUGAAAUUAAAAUCUUAUUAUGUAUAUUUUCUUAUGGAAUAAGAAAAACAGGUAAAGGUAUUAUAUUUUAUGAGAUAUCUGAGUUUUAGUGAAACAGGGUCAGAGCGAUUUCUGGAUCCCCUGUUUCAACUUUGGAAAUUAACCAUAAAUAGUAAAAAACUAAUUAGAAGGUUUAAUUUAUAUUUUCAGAAUCCUUGUUGAAUCUAGUUUUGGGAGAAACAAACGGCUUAGUCAUAUGAAUUUUUUACAGGAAGAAAAAUGGUUCGUAGUAAGAAGAGGUCAGUGCAGUCGAGUUUUGAAACAGGGGAAACUUUAACUAAUAAACUAUACUAAUUGGUCAAGUCAAAAAUUCUAGAAAAAAAUUAGUAGAUAUAUAUACGAAUCUAGUUUCAGGAAAAAUUUACGGAUCUUAAUUUUGAGCUUUGAAACUUGAGAAAUAUAUUUUUAAGGAACCAUGACGCAGAAAAACAGUUUAUUUCAAAAAUUAAAAUAAGUGGUUUAGAGUUGUUUAAAAGGUAAGAUAAGUUUAGUAACACCUCAAGCUUGACUCCGGUGACGGUUUCGGGCGUGGGGGUGUUACACAUGACAUGUUUUUCUAACAACUUAUAAUUUAUUCAUUUUGGUCCUUAAUACUCAACAAUGAUUUCAAAGCUUUUAAGCUUAAACUCAACUUGAAUCAACAAUCUUUAUCACAAUUUUAACUUAUUCUUAUUAUGAUUUUAUCUAGUUUCAAGCAUGCAUGUAUUGGAUUCUUACCAUAUAAUUUCUCAAGCUCUUUAAAAAUGGAAAAAAAAUGAACUUAAACUUACUAAAUCACAAUUAAUUAAUGGGUCCUUACUCUCUAUCAUCUACUAAUAAAAAUUCAACCUAAAAUUUAAGAGAGAACUCACCUAUUUUCCUUGGCAGUACACGACAAUGGUGAAAGGUUUGAGAAAGUUUCUCCUAUUUCUUUCUUCUUGGUUGUAUGAAAGAGAUGAGAUGAGCACUCCUUCUCAUUCUUUAUUUUCUUUUAUUCUUUUAUUUAUCACAAUCCUUAAUUAUCUAAAUCAAUGGCCAUGAUUUAUUCAUUAAUGUAUUAGUGCUAAUCAAUGGCUAGAAACAUGGCUAUCCACUUUACUUUGUAAUGUAAAUUUUUAGUUACACUUCAACUCGACUCACUAAAAUUAAUAAGAAUUAAAGUCACAUGUAAUGAAUUUUUUGUGGUUAAAUUUUACUAUUAGUAUAUGUAUUAUGCGUAAGUUGCGGACUUAGUCUUUAUAUUUUCAUUUAGUCAAUUUUAGUCCAUAUACUUUUAGAAAUUUAAAAUUUUAGUCUUGACCAAAUGAAAGCUAUAAAAUUCAUGAAGUUAAGUUAUGCUAUUUUCAAAAUUUAAUGCGAAAAUAUAUUAUCACAUGUGUAAUGCCAUGUCAAUUUGUUCUUUUCACAUAUUACUCACAAAGAAACCAACUAAUAGAUUUAAUGAUUGACAUUUGCAUUGAGACUAAAAUUUCGAAAUCCGAAAAAUAUAAUGGCUAAGAAUGAUCCAGUUGGAGAAUAUGGAGUAAAUCUACAACUUUAUGCAUAAUACAUUACUAAUACUAGAAUUUAACCCAAAAAAAAGUUAGCUACUAUUGUACGGUCAAGACUAAAAUUUCAAAAUUUGAAAAAUAUAAGUGUACACACAAAUUUUGCCCAGGCCCAUUUUAACCUAAACCUACCCCAACCCAAACAAAGGCUAAACCUACCCAAUAGCCCAAAACUAAACAGACCCUAACCUCAGCCCACUACCUAAACAAAUUGUGGCAGAAAUAAAAAAACCCGUAGCCCCUCUAGCCGCCGUUUCUGUCCCAUCGCCCAUGCCAGUCGGCAACCUGCUCCAUCGUCUUGUCUCCCACUUGCACCUGCAAAUUAAACAGAGAAUAGGCAAGUAUUAAUAAAAAAAAGAGUUGUAAAUUGGCUUUAAAAAGGCCAAGCCAAAUCCAUUUGUAAGUUUGGCAAUUUGAAAAAUAAAAAAGCAUUGAUUUUAACACACAAAGAGUAAAACAGUGACUCUAGAAACGACAAAACCACGAGAAUAACCCCAAAUCAAAGGAUCCAAAGACCAAAAGACAGAAUCAAAUGUCUAUUUAUUUUAUUUUUAUUUUUUUUUCCUUCUUUUUCGAACUUGUUUGUAUAUACCAAACCCUAUUCUAUUAAAAACAAUAUAUAUUAGAUAUAAAUAUAGCAAAAGAAAACAACAAAUUUUUUUACCUUUUGGCGAUUUUCGGCCACCGUACAUGGUGGCCAGCACGGCGGGGCCACGGUGGGGGGUGACCGGAUCCUUUGGCCGGUUCUAAGUUUUCCCCAGAGAGAAAAACUCCCUCCUCCCCUCUUUUUUUUAAACUCGAAAGAAAUGAAUUUUUUUUAAAAUUUUUUGACUUUUAUAACCCCAUGGUAUGACGUCGUUUUGGGGCAAACAUUCAACACCCAAAACGGCGUCGUUUAGUGACCCAGACCAGAGACCAGACCUUAACCCGCCUGGAUCCGCGUGUUUUUGGGCUAGGGGUCUAUUUGCGCUCCCAGUCCUUCCGCUUUUGAGGCCGGUUUCAAUGUGGUCCCGUUUCCUUUUUAUCUCUUUUUAAUUUACCCUAAAAUUUCUUCAUUGUUUUAUUUUGAUCCUUGGUCGAACGACGCGUUUUGGGGGGACGGGUUUAUUACCCAUCUGGUCCUCCCUUGUUGUUCGCGUAUUCGAAUGGGUCAUUUUCUUUUAUUUUUAGUUUCGAUUUGCCCCGAACUUCUAUUUUAAGUUCAAAUUGGUCCCUUUUCAUCCUUUUUUAUUAUUUUAUUAACUAAUUUAAUAUUAUUGUUACUAUAACCAUAUCUUAUUUUUAUGCUUAUUGUUUGCUAUUAUUAUUGUUAUUACGUUCGUUCUCUUAUUAUUUUUGUUGCUAUUUCUCUUGUGAAUUUGUAUUAUUAUUUAUAUCAUUGUUAGUAUUAUUAUUAUUCCUUAGUUUAUUAUUAUUAUUUUAUCAUCAUUUUCCAUUAUUGUUAUUACUAAUAUACUAUUAUUAUUCCUAUUAAUGUAUUGUUAUUAUUCUCUACUUUAUUAUUAUUAUAUUAUUAUUACUGCUAUCAUCAUAUUAUUAAGCUAGUUAAUUUUAUAUUGAUUCUGUCAUAUUAUAUAUAUAUUGUUCUUUUUGUAUUUAUCUAUAUUAUUGUUAUUAAUCAUUGUAAUUACUUUUGAACAUAUCAUGUAUUUUAAAUUAUUAUCAAUUUAAAAUAUUUUAUAUAUAGCAUUUCUUUUAAACUAUCAUAUGUAGUAUUUAUUUUGAAACUUUUAUAUGCAUCUUUGUAUUUCAAAUUAAUAUAUAUACAUACAUAUUGUUUUUUUUUCUAAAAAAGGAAUUUAAUAUAUAGUUGUAUCGUUUUAUAUGACAAAUGUGUUAAAUUCCUUUUAUUAUUUAAUAUAAACCUUUCUACUACUAUUAAUUUUAAAAGUUCACAUGUUAUUUAUGUUAAACUGUUGUACAUAUCUUCAUUCUAAACUUUCAUACACAAUUUUAAUUUUUUUUUGAAUUAUUAUUUUGAGUUAUUCUAUUUAUAUAUAUUUUUUUUAUCUUGUAUACUAAUGAUUUUAAAUUAACUAAUAUCAUUUACUUUAAAUCAUUUUCCAUAGUGUCUAUGUCAAGCUUGUAUUACCUAUAUGUUAUUCGUCUAGAACCGUGCCAUUGUUUAUUUUUUAAUUGUUCAUAUUAUUCAUUUCAUUUCUCUUUAAUUAUUAAUAUAUAAAUAAUGUAUAUUGAGUGAUUAUUGUCAUUGUGUGUACUAUAAUUCGUUUGUUCGUAUUCUCAUAUUAUUAUCACCCAUUUGCAUAGUAUUUUAUCCAUGUUUAUUGUUCCAUGUUUAUUCGUCUUUCAUUCGUAAUUAUCGCAUUGUAAUCUUCGACUUAUUGAUCCGAAAUUCAUGAUUCCAUUUUAAUUCAAGUCAAAGUUAGUGCGUUUUAAGCCGGUUUUACAAUUAUUCGUUUGAAAAUUCCUUAAAACGAAGGCAACAUUUGAUACUUGGGAAUUCGAGGAAUCGUGCCCUAUCGUGCUGGGUUUCGAUUUCCCGUUUGUUCCAAAUAAUUGAAUGUUCCUUUAGUAUUUUACUCGUGUUUUAUAAAUUCUAAAGCAAGGCAAUGUUCAAUGUUUAGAUGUUCGAGGAAUCGUGCCCUACCGUGCUGGGUUUGGUUUUUCGUUGAACUAAAUAAUUGGGGUAUUCUUUUGUGAUUUGCAACAUAUAAAUUUUUGGAAGUCAAAAGUUUAUCAUGUUUUCGAGAACAUAGAGGAUCGUGUCCUAUCGUGCUGGACGUGAUGCUGUAUACCCUUGAAACGAAAAAGUUUUGGCGACCAACUUAAACCAUUCAAACAUUUUAAAAGAAGCCAUAUUUCAAUUUAUUUUUUAAAAUUUUAGACAUAAGGGCAAUAUUUAAUCAAUUCGGUACCAAUUUUGGGCGUACUGAGGGUGCUAACCUUUCCUUAUGCGUAACCGACUCCCGAACUCGUUUUCUGAUUUUUCGUAGACCAAAAAUUAUCAUAUUAGUAAAUCUUAGUUUUUAUUAAAACGAUUAAUUUGAGGUGACCCGAUCACACCUCAUCAAAAAGGAUUGGUGGCGAUUCCCGCAAUUUUCGUUUUCUUUUCAAAAUAGAAAGUCGAUCCCCGUUUUUCAAAAAAAUAGUUUCGACAGCUUGGCGACUCUACUAGGGACCAAUAAGAGAGUCAAGCCAUAAAAUUGAUUAUUUGUUGUCCUUUUAUCAAUGAAUUGAAAAUUUGUUUUGAAAAUCAUGAUUUCUUCAAUUGCAUUCGAUUGUAUGAUUGUUAUGAUUCAGGUCUUGUAGGAUAAUAUUGCAUUGCAUUGUAUUGCAUGACCGCUGUGGUCACACCUUCUAAGUGGGAGUAAAAAACUAUGCUUUCGUGAGGUUUUCACCUCCGCAUGGGCUAGUGGAUUGCUUCCGGGAUACAUCCGUACCUAUGAUUUCAUGAGAUUUUCAUCUCCACAUGGUCAUAGGGAAAUGUAUUCCCCUAAACCAAACUCGAUCCAUAUGAGCCUAUAAUGGGUGAGGAUCGAGGAAUCUGCUGGUUCGGGUACCCUUACUCUAGAACCAAAUGACAUAUAGGGAACCCUAAGAGCCUUCUUUAGGUGGAGCUAGGUUAAAAUGUAGUAAUUGCCCAUAUAUAUGCUUUGACUAUCUUUAUUUUGCUUGUAUUUUAUUAUUAACACUUGAUACUGACUUGUCUUGUUUUGAUUGUAUUUUGCAUAACAUUGCAUACUAAAGAAGGUGUUGAUUCGUAUUCGAUUACUAAGUUAGAAAGUUUAAUAUGGAGAAUGAAUUUAUUAAUAAAGUAGAAGAUAAUGUGGCCGUCCGCGAAUGGUCAGAGAAGUUACAAUUGGAGAAAGGGGAUAGCUUGACAGAAGGAUAUACAUCAGAGUUGUAGGAAUUCACUCGCGUCAAUGUAGCACAGAAUGAAUUGCAAGAAUUGAGAGAUAUUUGGGCUCGUUGGGAUGAAGGAACCAAACAGUUGUUCUAUCAAAGCUAACAACUGUUUGGUGAUAUAUCUUACUUGCUAGAUAUUAAGGUGAACAAGCACCUGUUCUGAGUUAUGGUUCAAUUUUGGAAUUCUGCUUACAAGUGUUUCAUUUUUGGGGAAGUGGAUUUAGUGCCUACCGUGGAGGAAUAUACUACCCUGCUCAGGUGUCCAAAAGUGCAAGUUAGAAAAGCUUAUGCCAAGGUUUUUAAUGGUCAAACCUUCACAAAGAAAUUGAUGAAUAUUUCAGGGAUGAGCGAGCCUUGGGUCACUGCUCGGAUUCAACAAAAGGGAGAUAGUAAAUGUAUCCCUUGGGAAAAUUUGAGAGAUUUGGUUUUAACACAUCCGGAUGAAGGAAAGAGGGUCGAUAUCUUCGCCUUAAGCAUCUAUGGAUUGGUAAUUUUUCCUAAGGCUUUAAGGCACGUGGAUGAGGCACUCACUGACUUAUUCGAUCGUCUUGAGAAGGGAAUCACACCUGUACCUGUGAUAUUAGUUGAGACAUUCAGAUACUUGAGCAUGUGUCAAAAAUCAGGUGAUGGGCGAUUUGUUGGAUGUGCGCAGCUGUUGAUGGUGUGGUUUCAUGGGCACUUUUGAAAGGUGGAAAAGGUCUCUUAUCGGGUCUUUUCUGAAGCUUAUUCCCCGUUAAAAGAGGAGGCAGCCAUACAAAGGAGAGAGGAUAUCUUAGAGGAGAAAUGGAUGGAAAUUCUUUAAAACCUCAAUGAGGGGAAUAUAGAGCGGAGAGCAUUUUGGAUGGUUCCCGAUGAGAUCUUGUAUCGAUGUGGGAACUUUGAUUGGGUGUCGUUGUUAAGAAUUUGGGGAGCUACCGGGUAUACUCCAUUGCUUACAUUAAGGCAAUACAAAUCGAGACAGUUUGUACCCAUGACUUACGGGCUCGCUCAGUGUGAAUUCUUCUAUAAAGGUGACCACUAUAAGAAGAAAGUUUAGGAACUAUCGGAUGCUUGAAAGUAAACUCGCUGGAUGAAGGGGUUGACUAUUGGUUCCAUGGUGACACCUGAAUAUAAUGGAUGGUUUAGAAAAAGAGUCAAUGACAAUAUUCCUAGACCAAGUGUAGAAAGCACUAGACUAAUGGAGGAACAAUUACAAGUCGCCCCGUCAAAGUUGGAAAUUAUAAAGCAAGACUUCGAGAAGAAGAGUUCUGAGCUUAAGAAAAAGAUUGAACAAUUGGAGGAAGAAAAGAUGCAUCUGAGGUUAGACAUUGAGGUUUAGAGGUCAGAAGCUAAAAAGUUAAGAAAAGGGAAAAGUAAGGCUAAAGAAGAUCUGGACAGUUUGAAGACAGAUUAUAAGAAGUUACGCAUGUCUAUGAGGACUGUUGGGUUAGGUAAAACAUCAAAAUAAUGGCGUCAAUAAAUUCGAGAGGAAAAGACCAAAGCCGACCGAUGGGAAAGGAAAUUCUGAGAAGCUAAUGCACGAAAUAAAGAUUUAGAGAAGAGUCUGUCAAAAAGUAGAAAUGAACGAAAUGAACUAAGGGCUAGAGUGGCGAAACUCGAAAAAUCUCUUUAUCUGUACCGAAGCCGUAAUACCGCAAUGGAACUGAGAGCAAGCCUGGAUAUGGUAGAAGAAAUGAAAGGAAAAAUCAAAGAAUUAGAAGCGUCAUUACAAUGCGGAUUGAGUUUUUCGAAGCAAGUGAGGAGCGUUGGAAGGAACAGCUUCAACAUUCGUAAGACCAAAUCAGAAAUAGGGAUUACAUUAUGGGAGAAGCCAUAACCCAGAUUUGGGAGGUAGCUGAUUACUUGCAAGCUUUGGCAGUACAAGCAGACAUACUGGGCGUGAAAUACGAGUUGGAGUCAGAUUGGGGGCAGAAGCUAGCCUCAUUGUUUAGGAAAAUUAAGGCUCUGGGCAUUAGGGAGAAGUCUUAUUAGUAACUCAGUUUUAUGUAAAGACUUUUAUUUUCUAGUAAAGUUUUCUAAAUGGAAUUGAAUCAAAAUUGAUGCCUCCUUUGCAUUCAUGCAUUUGCAUUACAUUACUUCAUAUGCAUUAAAGGCCAUAAAAAUAUUCUAAUUAAUUAAAAAUGUUUCAGUAAUCUGGGAACUGACGAAAAUCUUUCAAGUGCACAUCCCUACAGUACAAGAAGGAAAACUAAAACAAUGGAUAAAAAAUUAGAAAGACUGGAACAAAUGCAGAAAGAGAUGCAGGAACAGAUACAAGCACAAGUGCAAGAACAGUUAGCUAAAACCCAGCAGGAAAUGAGGGACCAAAUGCUGGAAUCACAAAGAAAUAUGAUGGAAGAGCUAACCCGAUUACUGACUAGUAAGACGGACAAAGGAAAGGGCCCUAUAACCAAUAUUGGAAAUAACAAUGAAGAUUCUCUUUACCCCUUUGGUUUUGCCCUGGAAAAUGCUCAAAUGCAACAUGAGAUACACACAGAGGCCAUCCAUUACUGAGGAUCCUCUCUACCCCUUGGUUUCACCUCGAUGAAUGCUCAAAAGCAACCCGAGCUGCACAUGCGAAGGCCGUCCUUACAAUCAGGCCCCAACAAUUCCAGGCCGAUACCUCGAUGCCGAUGAACUAUCAAGCUGGCUCAGGCUCUAAUCUGGUGGAUAACCCGACUAACCCCGUUGUCCCCGAUCUUAAUUAUGUAAUAGAAGCGGAAAAGACAAGGGUAGAACUUCUGAAAGAACUUGAAGAAUGGUGUAGAUGGUUGGAAUAAAAAUUUAAAGAAAUAGAAAACGCUGACUAUCGUGGUGGAAUCGAUGCUAAGGAAUUAAGCUUGGUUCCAGACUUGGUGCUUCCCUCCAAGUUCAAAACUCUGGAGUUUGAAAAAUAUAACGGGACUAGUUGUCCCAAAGCUCACAUCACCAUGUUCUGUAGACGAAUGGCACGCUAUGUCAAUAAUGACCAACUAAUGAUUCACUGUUUCCAAGAAAGUCUAGUCGGGGCAGCAUCUAAAUGGUGCAACCAACUGAGUCGUACCUAGAUCAAUUCGUAGAGGGAUCUAGCAUAGGCUUUCAUGAAGCAGUACAGUUACGUGACAGAUAUAGCCCCUGAUAGAAUCACGUUACAAAACAUGGAGAAGAAACAAAAUGAGAGCUUUAGGCAGUACGCCCAAAGAUGGAGAGAGAUGGCGAUGCAAGUCCAACCACCUCUUCUAGAGAAAGAAACGACCAUGCUCUUUAUCAAUACGUUGAAGACUCCAUUCAUCAACUUAGGGAGCGCUACUAAAAGUUUCUCAGACAUAGUAAUGUCUGGAGAGAUGAUAGAAAAUGUGAUAAGAUGUGGGAAGAUUGAAGCAGGGGGAAGUGUUAAGAAAUCAUGUAACGCCCCUAACCCGUAUCCGCUGCCAGAAUAGGUUUUCGGAGCAUUACUACCACUUGAAAAUCAUUAAAAAAAAUUCACUUAAAUACUUAUCAAUUCAAUGCAUCAAUAAAUAUAUUACCAUUCAAUCAAUGGCUUGGCACUUGCCUAAGCAUUAACAACAACACUUGUUAGUGUACUUACACAUAUUUCAUAUAAAUUCUUAUUUUCUCAAUAUGUCAUAUUUGAAUUUAAUACUCGUCUUAACUUACAUAUUUUCCUUAUGUUAACAUAUAAAAGAUAAUCUCAUAUGUACAUGUCAUGAUACAUAUCAUUCUCUUACCGUUUCUUUAAUAACAUAUAUAAUUCAUUUCAUUAUAUCAACAUUUCAUGCACCAUCAUUUCCUUAUAUCUUAGGUAUAUUUAUUUCGGUAAUGGUUCGUAUUAAACUUAACAUAAUUCAAAUUCAUGUACCUAUACUUAUUUCAUUUAUCUAUCUUAUAAAUUAUUUCAUACAACUAUUUUGUACAUUUAUUUCCAUAUGACCAAUUCCUGUAAACAUUUCACAUUACCAUUUUGUAUAACCAAUUCAUUUAACCAUUUGUUAUAUUACCUGAAUAUUAGUUGUUCAACAGAUAUCUUGGCGUUUCUCUUCCACGAUCUUAUUUAUCUUCGACAUGAUGCCAUAGUGUCUUUCAACUAUGGUCUUUCUCAUUUUCUGUCAUGUUUCCAUGGUAUCUUUCAACCAUGGUCUUAUUCAUUUCCCCGUCACGUUGCCAUGGUAUCUUUCAACCAUGGUCUUACACAUUUCAUGUCAAGUUGCCAUGGUAUCUUUCAACCAUGGUCUUACACAUUUCAUAUCAGGUUGCCAUGGUAUCUUUCAACCAUGGUCUUACACGUUUCAUAUCAGGUUGCCAUGGUAUCUUUCAACUACGGUCUUACACAUUUCAUAUCAGGUUGCCAUGGUAUCUUUCAACCAUGGUCUUACACGUUUCAUAUCAAGUUGUCAUGGUAUCUUUCAACCAUGGUCUUACACAUUUUCUAUCAGAGAGCACACUCCCGCGAACCUCAUUCUUACAGUGGGAUUACCAGUGCAGGCUAAAUCCCCUGUAAUAUAAACUCAUAGAGUAUUGUCGGGAUUACCAGUCCAGGCUAAAUCCCCUACAACGACAAUUACUCUAAUGAGCUUGGAUCUGAAUUACCAGUCCAGGCUAAAUUCAGAUCCUAAUUCAGAUUACCUGUCCGGGCUAAAUCCAUUUUACACAUAUUCUUCGGGAGGGCUAUAUCAAGAUAGGAUCACCCGUCUGGGCUAGAUCCUUUUUACCGUCAAUUUCUUUUCAGAGAUCCAUCGAAUUUUCCUUCCAUUCAACAGGGAUUUAUUUUCAAGUUAUAUCGAGUAUUUACCAAUAUUUCAUCAAUUAUCAUAAAUUGAAUAUUCAAAUCAUAUUUUCAUUACAUAACCACAUAUUUCAAGUGUUUAAAAAUACAAUUCAAGUUACACAAACUUACCUCAUUGAUUGUUCGUGUUUAUGAUUUCAUUAUUCUGAUAUAUUUUCUUUUCCAUGAUCAAGUCUCGUAUUUGUGUCAUCCGGAUCUUUAUAAAUAAAUUUGAUCAUUAUUUUCAUUCAUUUCAUAUUCUAAUGCAUUUAAUUAAUGCUCCAGGCAAAAAUUACCAUUUUGCCCCUAAACUUUUAAUUAAUGACGAUUUCAUCCUUAGGGUCAAGAAAAUAAAAUUCUUGCAAUUUAAUCCUUAUUUCUAGCUAUUAUUAUCAUACAUAUUGAUAACAGUCCAUGAAUUCUAUAAAAUAUAAAAAAUUUUCACAAUUUCAACACUUUUCAAUUUAAUCCCUAAAACAUGUUUUCCCCCGAUCUUGAACUGAAUUGAAAAGUUCGUUAAAUUUUGUAAUAUAAAUAAUAAAAUAAUCUAUUUCAUGCAAUUUAGUUAUUUCUGACUUUUUUACAAAAUUGCCCAUAAAGUUUUACUUUUAUUCAAUUUAGUCCCCAAGCCUAAAACAUGCAAAUUAGCCAUGCUAGAUGAAUAUUCAUACAUAUUUUCCUCCUCCUCCUCUCCAUUCCACAUCCUUAAUUUAUAUAACAUGCAACAAGUAACAUUAUCAAUAAUUUCACUAUUUACUUAUAUGUACAUUCAAAACUGUCCAUUUGCGUCAUAGUCACUAAAUUAUUUAUAUAUUAAGCUAAAGAACUCAAAAUUAAGAUCCGUUAAUUUUUCCUGAAACUAGACUCACAUGUAUUCUUACCAUAAAAUUUUCAUAAUUUUUGGUUUAUCCAAUUAGUACAGUUUAUUCAUUAAAGUCUUCCCUAUUUUUCUAUUUGACAGUUCUGACCACUCUUCACUAAAGUUUAAUUAUCUAUUUAAACAGAAUUAAAAUGAUGUUAUAAUUUGUUUCUUAUAAAAAUAGACUCAUUAAGGAAUUUAACCAUAUAAAGUAUGUAACAAAAUUAUUUUUUUAUAAUUUUUAGUGAUUUUUCCAAGUUAGAACAAGGGAUCUUGAAAUCAUUCUGAACCAGUCUCACAAAAACAUAAAUAUCUCAGAAUACAGAAUUACUUUACUUUCUCUAUUUAUUUUAUAUAAAAAUAGACUCAAUAAGAUUUAAUUCCAUAUCACCCUUAGCUUCUAAUUCAAUUUCUAUCAUUUUUUGUGAUUUUUCAAAGUUAGCCUAUUACUACUGUCUAAAACUACUUUAGUGCAACAUAUUGAUUACCAAGUUUAUAACACUCCUAUUUCCAUUUUCUACCAUAUUUCCCAUUAUUUUCUCUCAUUCCCUUCACUAAUAUAUCAAAAACAUGGAACCAUAUAAAAGAAAACUCUACAUUAACAUCAAUUCCAUGCUUUUUCAACAAUAUUAGACUUAAAAAUAUAUUGAAAUCUUAAUGUUCUUACCUUUUCUUAUUAACUUCAAUCUUUAACUUGAUUUUUCUCUCUCCUCCAGCUUCUAUUUCUUGAAUCCAACUUGAUAUUCUUGCUCCCCAUCAUCUCCUUGCUAUCUUUCUCUCUUGAUGGCUAUGGAAAUUCUUUCAAUUUUUAGGUGAGAAUAAUGAAUUUUUGGUGAAAGGACUAAAUUGUAAAUAAAGAAAACUUCUUUUCUUCUUACUCUUUCUUACGUUGGUUUGCAUGGAAAGGAAAGAUGAUGAAAAUUCUUCAUCUUUCUUUCCUUAUAUGCUAAAUAAAUAAUAAUAAAAUAAUAUUAAAUAUCUCAUAAAAUAUUAAUAAAAUAAUAUUUAUCUAAUUAAUUAAUUUAAAAUAUCAUCAACAUAAUCAUUACAUUCUAGAAUUCUCUCUCUUACUAAUUGACCAUUUUGCCCUUCAUGAUCUUUUAGAAUUCCAUCCUUGAGUCAUCAUUUAAUUUGGUAAAAUUGCAAUUUAGUCCCUCAUAGUUCUUCACUUAUUCAAUUUGGUCCUAAUUUAUCCAUUUUCCUUAGUUUCUAGAUCAUUCUACCUUUAAAAUAUUUACACUAUUGGUCCUUCAACUUUUCAUAUUUACACUUUAACCCUUUAAGUCUUGAGUAUUUACUCUUAGGCAACAAAACUUUUCUGACUUUUACAAUUGAGUCCUUUCCUGGAUCAAGAUAUCAUAAUUUACUUCCCAAUGUUGCCAUAACUCAAAACUUCCCUUUUUAUCACUUUAUUUCCUUAUUUUAUUAUAUCAAUGAUAAUAUAUUACUGUAAAGAUUUUCGGGGUAUUACAAAUCAGCCUCGAGAAGGAAAGAAAAUGAGGUGAAUAGCACGAGCAUGUAUAAUAAGCCAGUCACCGUGAGCCAACCGAGGACGGUGACUACCAGCCAUCAGGGCUCCGCAAGACAAGACUCCAACCCAAAGCCUAACAAGGAAAGAGUCCAGUUUACGCCUAUCCCGAUGUCCUAUAGGGAAUUGCAUCAGAGCUUAUUCGAUGUCCAUGUGGUGUCACCCUUCUAUCUAAAGCCAAUGCAACCCCCAUUCCCUAAAUGGUAUGACGCAAACGCCCAAUGCGAAUACCAUGUGGGAGUCACAGGACACUCGAUAGAAAACUGCACCACUUUCAAGAAAAUGGUUGAAAGACCCAUUACCUAACCAUGGGGAUAAAGGGAUAAGUGUGAUAAUCGAGAGUUCAAGGAAAGAAAUUAAGAUGAAUAUUGCAGAAGUGAAUACCCCGUUGAAAGAAGUAUGGAAGAAAAUGGUGGAAAGAGGGUUGAUGACACAGAAUUCAAGGAAUAGACACCGAGAAGUAAAAAAUUAUUGUGAGUUCCAUAAUCAAGAGGACCAUGAGAUUCUGAAAUGCAGCGAAUUUAAGGCUCUAAUACAAGGAUUGAUGGAUAAUAAGGAGCUAGAAUUAUUCGAGUAUGUCGGGAACCCAGAAAGAACAGGCAUAUGUGCCUCAGAAAAGGGGUCGACGAAGAAUGCUUAUGAAGUCAACCACCCAGUGGUUAUCAUAUCACGUCCGAGAAUUAAUGAAGCCGGGGCACAAGUGGCACCAAAAGUCGUGAUCCAGAAGCCCGUUACUUUCUCUUAUAAAGAUAGCAGAAGGGUACCUUGGAAUUAUAGCUGCAAUGUAACAAUCCCAGGGGAAGAGAGCUCGGCUAGUGCUUCAAAGAAGAACCAAGAUACAGGUUUCUAUACACGCAGUGGGAGACGUUAUGAUCUUGCGGGUACAAAAACUGAAACCGUUAAAGAAAAGGCCCCAAUAGUUGAGCAAAGGAAGGAGAAGACGGUCAGGUUCGAAUCGCUAGUCAAUGAGUCAGUAAUCGAGAAUGAAGCUAGGGAAUUCCUAAAAUUUUUAAAGCAUAGUGAGUACAGCGUUGUUGAACAGCUACACAAGCAACUAACUCGCAUCUCAGUGCUAGGCUUACUCUUGAGCUCGGAGACGCAUCGGAACCCGUUAAUGAAAGUGCUGAACGAGGCUUAUGUCGCGAAUGUCAUCUCUGUCAACAAACUGGAUCGUCUGGUCAACAACAUCAGCGCCGAUAAUUUUAUUUUCUUUAACGAUGAUGAAAUACCACUGGGAGGUAUGGGGUCCACAAGGGCUCUGCACAUUACCACACGUUGCAAGGGAUACACGUUGCCGAGGGUAUUGAUUGAUAAUGGAUCAGCACUAAACGUCCUACCCCUAUCCAUAUUGAAUAGGCUGCUCGUGGAUAGUUCCCAUAUGAAACAUGCCAAAAUGAAGAGAGUUUGAUGGUACUGAAAGGAAAGUGAUGGGGAGGAUCGAAAUACCCCUUCUAAUCGGCCUUAGCACGUACGAGUUAGAUUUCUUGGUAAUGGACAUCAAGCCCUCUUACAAUUGCUUAUUGGGUAGGCCAUGGAUUCACUCAGUGGGGGCCGUCAUCGUUACAUCAAAAGCUUAAAUUUAUAACGGAAGGUCGAUUGGUGACCAUAAACGCGGAAGAAGACAUCAUUGCAUCCGUUACCAGUAAUGCACCGUAUGUAGGGACAGAUGAUGAAGCAUAGAAUGUUCUUUUUGGUCGUUAGAAUUUGUAAAUGUGACCUUUGUUGUCGAAGGAAAUAAGGUCUCAAUGCCCAGAAUCUCUAAAACUACAAGAAUGGGCCUAUAGCUGACGGUUGGGAAAGGAGCUUUGCCAGGAAAAGGGCUUGGAAGAAGCCUACAAGGAAGGGUCGAGGCACCUAUGCUUAUGGACAAACGAGACCGCUUUGGUUUAGGAUUCAAGCUAGAUGCAAAACAAAAGAAAAAAGAGUAAGAGAAGAAACAAGAAAGGAGAAAAAUGCGUUUAAGCGAGGAAGAGGUUAAGUGGGAGCCGAUGACCUUUCCUCAUAUAUCCAGAAUAUUCGUGUCGGGAGGGGCUAUUUACUCCGAAGAAAGAUCGACAAGGAUAGGGUAUGCCGAAGAACUGUUGGAGAACUUAAGCACUAAUGCCAUAUACGAAGAAGGAACUGGAGUAGAGCAUUUUUCGGGCAUUCGCCCUUAUGAGCCGGAAAGUGUUCUGAAUAAUUGGACUACUGAAGAGAUUCCUGUAGUAUUUAGAACUAACACAGAGUAAUGCCAAAAACACACCUAUUACUCUAGGCCUAGGAGUAAUAAGAGUAAUAAGUGUCCUUUUGUGAAAUAGGCUUAUGUACAAAAUCGUUAUUUUAAUGAAAUACUUCCUUUUGUCUUAUUCCGUACAAAUAUUCUUUUAUUCUUUCAUUCAUAAUCAUACCAUACACAUCAUUGUUCUUAGAUUCUUUUGUUCUUUGUAUCUUCCUUCACACCUACAACAGGUCUCCAGAUAUCAACGAUAUGAGCGAUGUUGCUACUAACUCAGAGUCUCCUUUUGAGCGGGAUACGUGUUUAUAGGGAUCUCAGGACUUUAAAGAUGACAGAGACUGUAACUUAUCCCCAGAUUUGUUAAGAACGGUAGAACAAGAAGAGAAAUAGAUUCGGCCUCACAAAGAGUCAGUAGAAGUCGUGAACUUGGGAGAUGAACUAGAAAGAAAAGAAGUAAAGGUCGAAGCUUGCAUUACCACAGAUACAAAGCAAGACCUUAUUGAGUUAAUCCAAGAGUUCAAGGAUGUCUUUGCAUGGUCGUAUCAAGAUAUACCUGGGCUAAGUACUGACAUUGUGGUACACAGGCUCCCCAUUAAAGAAGAAUGCAAGCCAAUUCAACAGAAGCUUCGAAGGAAGAAGCCAGAUGUUUUGUUGAAAAUAAAAGAGGAGGUCAAGAAGUAAUUCGAUGCUGGUUUCUUACAAGUAGUUAAGUACUCAGAAUGAGUAGCCAAUAUUGUCCCUGUCCCUAAAAAAGAUGAAAAAGUACGGAUGUGUGUAGACUACAGAGAUUUAAAAAAAGCUAGCCCAAAGGAUAAUUUUUCGUUUUCUCAUAUUUACAACUUAGUGGAUAACACGGCAGGUUACUCACUGUUCUUCUUCAUAGAUGGUUUCUAAGGGUACAACCAGAUCAAGAUGCAUCCUGAAGACAUGAAUAAAACCACAUUUGUAACCAUGUGGGGAACCUUUUGCCAUAAGGUGAUGCCGUUCGAAUUGAAAAAUACGGGAGCAACAUAUCAAAGAGCCAUGGUAACUCUGUUCCAUGAUAUGAUGCACAAAGAAAUUGAAGUCUAUGUCGACGACAUAAUCACCAAAUCCUGGACAGAAGAAGAGUAUGUGCAAGUCUUGAGGAAAUUAUUUUUGAGGUUGAGGAAGUUCCAACUAAAACUCAAUUCAGCAAAAUGUACCUUUGGGGCUAGGUCAGAGAAAUUGUUAGGAUUUGUAGUCAGUGAAAAAGGGAUUGAGAUUGACCCAAAUAAAGUCAAAGCCAUACAAGAGUUACCUCCGCCGCAUACUUAAAAGAAAGUUCGGGGAUUUUUAGGGAGACUAAAUUACAUCGCUCGGUUCAUUUCACAACUAACCGAGAAAUGUGACCCCAUAUUCUGUCUCCUUAAGAAACAUAACCAUGGUGUUUGGGAUGCGGAGUGCCAGAAAACUUUUGACAAGGUUAAGCAAUACUUGUCUAAUGCCCCAGUGUUGACACCACCUAGUCCAGAUAAGCCACUGAUACUGUAUUUGGCAGUAUUUGAAAAUUCCAUGGGAUGUGUACUUGGCCAACACGAUGAGUCAGGAAGGAAAGAAAGAGCGAUAUAUUACCUCAGUAAGAAGUUCACUGAGUGUGAGACGAGAUACUCGCCAAUUGAAAAGUUGUGUUGUGCCUUAAUCUGGAUAACCCGAAGAUUGAGACAGUACAUAUUAUACCACACAACUUGGCUAAUCUCUAAACUGGAUCCUCUGAAGUAUUUGAUGGAGUCAAUUGCUUUAAAUGGAAGAAUGGCCCGAUGGAAAAUUCUACUUUUCGAAUUCGAUAUCGUCUAUGUAAACCAGAAAGCUGUAAAAGGGAGUGCAAUAGUAGAUUUUCUAGCCAGUAGAGCUCUAGAAGACUACGAGCCUUUGAACUUUGAUUUUCCAAAUGAAGAUCUGAUGUACGUGGCAACCACUGAAGAAGACCCUCAAGAAGGUCAUCCUUGAAAGCUAAACUUUGACGGAGCAUCAAAUGCUGUGGGUAAUGGAAUCGGGGUAGUCUUGGUAUCACCAGAUGGAGAUCAUUAUCCCUUCACUAGUAAAUUGGAUUUUGACUGCACGAACAAUAUGGCAGAAUACGAAGCAUGCAUCAUGGGCAUCCGGACAGCCAUAGAAUGCAAGAUUAAAGCACUAGAAGUAUAUGGAGAUUCUGCGCUAGUGAUUUAUCAACUCAAAGGUGAAUGGAAGAUGAGAGAUCCCAAGUUGGUCAAUUACCGAAGUCUGGUCCUUGAAUUAAUUAAAGAAUUUGAUGCUAUCAUCUUCUGCUAUCUCCCUCGAGAAGAAAAUCAGAUGGUCGACGCCCUAGUAACUUUAGCUUCCAUGAUUAAGGUGAACAAACAAGAAGAUGUGAAACUGAUCCAAAUAAGUAUUUAUGAGGCUCCAGCUCAUUGUUACAACCUCGAAGAAAAAGCAGAAAAUGAUGAUCACCCUUGGUACCACGAUAUCCUGCGGUAUGUGAAGAAUCGUGAGUACCCCGACUAAGCUACUGAGAACGACAAAAGAACGUUGAGAAGACUGGCCAGUGACUAUGUCUUAUACGGGGAGAUCCUAUACAAAAGCAGGAAGGAUCAGGUACUGUUAAGAUGUGUAGACACUAUUGAGGCUAAGAAAAUCUUGGAAGAAGUCCAUGAUGGCAUCUGUGGGACAUGGAAGGAGACUAUAUUAACUACGCCAAAAGAUGUCAUAAAUGCCAAAUCUAUGGAGACAAGAUUAAUGUGCCUCCUUCACCUCUGCAUGUUAUGACUUCUCCAUGGUCUUUCUCGAUGUGGGGCAUAGAUGUGAUUGGGUCAAUUUCACCAAAAGCUUCAACUGGGCAUCGAUUAAUCUUUGUGGUCAUCGAUUAUUUCACCAAGUGGGUGGAGGCCGCUUCAUAUGCCAAUGUUACAAAAUCGGUAGUUAGCAAAUUCUUCAAAAAGGAAAUUAUUUGUUGAUAUGGAAUGCCAGAAAAGAUCAUAUCUAACAAUGCAUUGAAUUUGAACAAUAGUACAAUAGCAGAGGUCUGCAGUCAGUUCAAGAUCAGACACCACAACUCGUUACCAUAUCGCCCGAAGAUGAACAGUGCAGUCGAAGCAGCCAAUAAGAACAUCAACAAAAUUGUGGGAAAGAUGACUGAAACUUAUAAAGAUUGGCAUGAGAAGUUACUAUUUGCCCUUUAUGCUUAUCGAACGUCCAUCAAAACCUCUACUGGGGCAACGCCUUUCUCAUUGGUCUAUGGAAUAGAGGCGGUUUUACCCAUCGAGGUUGAGAUUCCUUCCCUUAGAGUUUUGUCAGAGGUAAAGUGACGUGUUUUUAUAUAUUAAUCAUGUGUUUAUUUUGAGCUUGAGCUUACUAAUUUGAGCUAUUUAUGUCUUUUUAUCUUUUAGGGACUAAAUUGGAGGCGAAAAGUAAAUUCAAGGGAAAAAAGCGUUAAUUUGGAGAUUAAAUGGGCCAAUAUGCAACGUGGGACAAAUAUGGUGCCAAAAGUGCGAACAUGGAAGGCACAAUGACUUAAAAGCAAAUAGAAUAAAUUUUAUUUUGGAAGACUCUAUUUUAUUUAUAUUAGGAUAAUUAAUAUUAAAGAUAAAUAUUAGGAUUAUUUAAAUUUUAGGAUUUUAUCUUUAUUUAUCUUUAAUUAAAUGUAUUUAUCUUUUUAGAAUUUAAGUUCAAUUAGACUAUCUCCCUAGCACUAUAAAUAGGGGGUGAAGUGACUCUAUUUGAGGUUGACCUUUUUCUGUAAACACUCUCCCCCUAAAAGUCUUUUGUUCUUUCCAUAUUUUUUUAUUUUAAUAAAAUUUCUUUUUCCAUAAUUUUAUUUUCUUUUCCACCAUUAUCAUGAGCCAUUAAAACCCUUCUAGCCAAAAGUUGUCAAUAUUUCCCCAAAAAGGGUUCUUGAGGCCUAGAAUCCGUACUUAGCCUUCUCGCCAAGUAUUCAUCGUUUCUCCGCACUACGGGCUGACGCUUCCAUCCAUGGCCCUUAAGAAGUAAGCUUUUCAGCAUAUGCAAAGGCAGUCGCUUUGUAUGUUUUGGAAGGAUUGUAUAGUCGGUUCGUUAACUUACUGCAUCAGAGGUUAGCGAGCCAAAGAGACAAAAUGGCGUGGGAUUCGAUAUUGAGAAGCAUUGAUCUAGCAUAGAUUACUGGCUAGAGUCAGGUUCCUUAAAAAUCGUAAGUCUAAUCUUUGGAGCUGGUGGUCGCCUCUUCCACUAUAACUGGCUUACUUGAGUCGAGAAGGAUCAUCCAAAAGCCAAGGAUUGAGCCCAACGCGGAAUGAGACAACCGGAGGCUGGAACUUUCCCAUAAGAAUUUCUUUUCUCUUAAAACUCUCUUUAUUAUUUUUAUUAUUUUCAUAAUCAUAAUUUCAGUAAACUUUAAAUUCUGUUUUUUUUUAUUUUUUCCAGGAACGCAAGUUUUCUUGGGCACGAUUAUGCCCAAGAUUUCGAGAAACAAGCAUUCGUAUAAUUCGGUCCCUGAGGAUUCGACCCUACUUCCUCUUUACUAUUUCUUUUUUGUUAUUUUAUAGGGAAUAGGAUAUUUUUGGUGCUCUCAACGACCGCAUCAAUGAGGCAGAAUGAAUCCAGUCCCGAUACGAUCAGUUGAAUUUGAUUGAAGAAAAGAGGCUAAGGGCUAUCCAUCAUGGUCAAAUGUAUCAAAAACGGAUGAUACAAACUUACAACAAAAAGGUUCGUCCCAGAGAAUUCCACGAAGAAGACCUAGUAUUAAAAAAAAUCCUGCCUAUACAGAAGGACUUCAGAGGAAAAUGGAUGUCGAAUUGGGAAGGACCUUAUGUGGUGAAGAAGGCAUUUUCUGGAGGAGCGUUGAUAUUGACCGAAAUGGAUGGCAAGACUUUACCCAAUCCUGUAAAUUUAAAUUUAGUUAAAAAAUACUUAGCCUAAAAAAAAGAGGGGAGAGGCCAAGGUGAAAACUCAUAAAGAGCACCUUGAGACCAAAGGGAUUUUGAAUUGAAAACACGUAAAGGGCGAUUCAAGCUUUGAUCAAAGGUGGGGCAUGCGGUACUUUUACAAUAUCUGAAUUAGCAAGGAGGAGAAAUGUUACAUCUUAGGGGCAUCAAUAAGAGUACUUUAAGUUCCUUAAACACAUAUUUGGCUCAAAAAUGGGGCCCUUAAGAAGUUCGUACAGAGAAGCUCAUGCUGCGAUAUUUGAGGCACCUAUUUUUUUUAUUCAUUUUGUAUUCCAGCAAUGUUUGCUGUCUAUGAUUAAUCUAUUCCCUUCAAAUUUUGUUUCUGACAAAUUUCAGUUCUGUCAUUGUUAUGAUCUUUUUCAAGUAUUUUGCAUCGAAAUGAUGAUUAAUGGACCAAUAAUACUUUCACAAAAAGAGUUCUGCAUGUUACUCUGAAAGUUUCUAAAUAGUACAGGAACAUGAAACAGGACUGUUAUUUAGAACUAACCAAACUUAAGGAUUGGAAACAUUUGAGAAAGAAGAGUUUAAAUUGGAACUACAUCUUCGGGUUUUCUGUUCAAAGAUCUAAGCUGAACAAGAAGAUAGAGUACUGUUUCAGUGAUAGAACCUUGAUGAACAAAGAGCAAUGACAACCCAAACAAUAAAAAGGGAUUCAUUCUCACAACAUGCUGCAUUCGUGCAUUUAUAGAUCAUUCAUAGCACAUCUAGUUAGGAACAUUUGAUUGAUUUCAAUCAUAGCAUCCUAAUUAUUUGGCAUAAGCAUAAAUACAUUGAACCAAUUCUACAGGUCAUGUCCCUAGAUCGGUGAAUUCACAAGCCUUAACCCCCUAAGCAGUAGGGUAACAGGCUGAAUUACAGAUCUUGUCUCCCUAAGCAGUAGCAGAGUAGAUCGAAGACGAUGAGCCUUAACCCUCUAAGUAGUAGGGUAACAGGCUGAAGAUUAUAGAUAUUGUCUCCCUAAGCAGUAGUGGAGCAGAUCGAAGACGGUGAGCCUUAAUCCCCUAAGCAGUAGGGUAACAGGCUAAAAAUUAUAGAUCUUAUCACCCCAAGAAGUAGGGAAACAAAUCGAAGAUGACGGGCCUUAACCCCCUAAGCAGUAGGGUAACAGGCUAAAUUGAUAGAUCUUAUCACCCUAAGCAGUAGGAAAACAGAUCAAAGGUGGUGAGCCUUAACCCCCUAAGUAGUAGGGUAACAAGCUGAAUUGACAGAUCUUAUCACCCUAAGCAGUAAGGAAACAGAUCGAAGGUGAUGGGCCUUAACCCCCUAAGUAGUAGGGUAAUAGGCUGAAUUUACAGAUCUUAUCACCCUAAGCAGUAGGGAAACAGAUCGAAGGUGGUGAGCCUUAACCCCCUAAGCAGUAGGGUAACAGGCUGAAUUGACAGAUCUUAUCACCCUAAACAGUAAGGCAACAGGCUGAAAAUUACAAGUCUUAUCUCCCUAAAGUUGCAGUGGAGCAGUCUGAAGAUAGCAAGUCUUAUCUCCCUGAAGUUGCGUUGGAGCAGACUGAAGAUAGCAAAUCUUAUCUCUCUGAAGUUGUAGUAGAGUAGAUCUCCUUGAAGUUUCAACGGAGUAGAUUAAAGCUACAAGUAGUCGUAGUAGAGCAGACUGAAGAUAGUGAAUCUUAUUUCCAUGAAGUUGCGGCAGAGUGGAUCAAAGCAAAAGAUGCAGUGGACUAGAAUGAAGCUACCUGAAGAAGAGGAGCGCCAAAUAAGUCAAGACUCAGUGAGACCGGGCAAAAUUGGUCUUUCUUGAAAGUCUUUGCUCUGUUCUCGUUACACAACAACGAGCAAAGAGGGGCAAAUGUACACACCAAUUUUGCCCAGGCCCAUUUUAACCUAAACCUACCCCAACCCAAACAAAGGCUAAACCUACCCAACAGCCCAAAACUGAACAGACCCUAACCUCAGCCCACUACCUAAACAAAUUGUGGCAGAAAUCAAAAAGCCCUAACCCCACUAGCCGCCGUUUCUGUCCAAUCGCCCAUGCCAGUCGGCCACCUGCUCCACUGCCUUGUCUCUCACUUGCACCUGCAAAUUAAAUAGAGAAUAGACAAGUAUUAAUAAAAAAAGAGUUGUAAAUUGGCUUUAAAAAGGCCAAGCCAAAUCCAUUUUUAAGUUCAGCAAUUUGAAAAAUAAAAAAGCAUUUGAUUUUAACACACAAAAAGUAAAACAAACCACGAGAAUAACCCCAAAUCAAAGGAUCCAAAGACCAAAAGACAGAAUCAAAGGUCUAUUUAUUUUCUUUUUAUUUUUUUCUUUCUUUUUUCGAACUUGUUUGUAUAUACCAAACCCUAUUCUGUUAAAAACAAUAUAUAUACAUAUUAGAUAUAAAUAUAGCAAAAAAAACAACAAAUUUUUUUUACCUUUUGGCUAUUUUUGGCCACCGUGUACUGUGGCCGGCACGGCAGGGCCACGGUGGGGGGUGACCAAAUCCCUUGGCCGGUUCUGGCUUUUCUCUAGAAAGAAAAACUCCCUCCUCCCCUCUUGUUUUUUAAACUCAGAAGAAAUGAAAUUUUUUAAAAAAAAAUUUGACUUUUAUAACCCCCUGGUAUGGCGUCAUUUUGGGGCAAACAUUCAACACCCGAGACCCGACCUUAACCCGCCAAGGAUCUGUGUGUUUUUGGGCUGGGGGUCUAUUUGCGCUCCCAGUCCUUCCGCUUUUGAGGCCGGUUUCAAUGUGGUCCCGUUUCCUUUUUAUCUCUUUUUAAUUUACCCCUAAAAUUUUUUCAUUGUUUUAUUUUGAUCCUUGGUCGAACGGUGCGUUUUAGGGGGACGGGUUUAUUACCCAUCUGGUCCUCCCUUGUUGUUCGCGUAUUCGAUUGGGUCCUUUUCUUUUAUUUUUAGUUCUGAUUUGCCCCGAACUUCUAUUUUAAGUUCAAAUUUGUCCCUUUUCAUCCCUUUUUUAUUAUUUUAUUAACUAACUUAAUAUUAUUGUUACUAUAACCAUAUCUUAUUUUUAUGCUUAUUGUUUGCUAUUAUUAUAGUUAUUACGUUCGUUCUCUUAUUAUUUUUGUUGCUAUUUCUUUUGUGAAUUUGUAUUAUUAUUUAUAUCAUUGUUAGUAUUAUUAUUAUUCCUUAGUUUAUUAUUAUUAUUUUAUCAUCAUUUUCCAUUAUUGUUAUUACUAAUAUACUAUUAUUAUUCCUAUUAAUGUAUUGUUAUUACUCUCUACUUUAUUAUUAUAUUAUUAUUAUUACUGCUAUCAUCAUAUUAUUAAGCUAAUUAAUUUUAUAUUGAUUCUGUCAUAUUAUAUAUAUAUAUAUUGUUCUUUUUGUAUUUAUCUACAUUAUUGUUAUUAAUCAUUGUAAUUACUUUUGAACAUAUCAUGUAUUUUAAAUUAUUAUCAAUUUAAAAUAUUUUAUAUAUGUCAUUUCUUUUAAACUAUCAUACGUAAUAUUUAUUUUGAAACUUUUAUAUGCAUCUUUGUAUUUCAAAUUAAUAUAUAUACGUACAUAUUUUUUUUUCUAAAAAAGGAAUUUAAUAUAUAGUUGUAUCGUUUUAUAUGACAAAUGUGUUAAAUUCCUUUUAUUAUUUAAUAUCAACCUUUCUACUACUAUUAAUUUUAAAAGUUCACAUGUUAUUUAUGUUAAACUGUUGUACAUAUCUUCAUUCUAAACUUUCAUACACAAUUAAAAUUUUUUUUUGAAUUAUUAUUUUGAGUUAUUCUAUUUAUAUUAUUUUUGUUAUCUUGUAUACUAAUGAUUUUAAAUUAACUAAUAUCAUUUACUUUAAAUCAUUUUCCAUAGUGUCUAUUUCAAGCUUGUAUUACCUAUAUGUUAUUCGUUUACAACCGUCCCAUUGUUUAUUUUUUAAUUGUUCAUAUUAUUCAUUUCAUUUCUCUUUAAUUAUUAAUAUAUAAAUAAUGUAUAUUGAGUGAUUAUUGUCAUUGUGUGUACUAUAAUUCGUUCGUUCGUAUUUUCAUAUUAUUAUCACCCAUUUGCAUAGUAUUUUAUCCAUGUAUAUUGUUCCAUGUUUAUUUGCCUUUCAUUCGUAAUUAUCGCAUUGUAAUCUUUGACUUAUUGAUCCGAAAUUCAUGAUUCCAUUUCAAUUCAAGUCAAAGUUAGUGCGUUUUAAGCCGGUUUUACAAUUAUUCGUUUGAAAAUUCCUUACAACGAAGGCAACAUUUGAUACUUGGGAAUUCGAGGAAUCGUGCCCUAUCAUGCUGGGUUUCAAUUUCCCGUUUGUUCCAAAUAAUUGAAUAUUCCUUUAGUAUUUUACGCGUGUUUUAUAAAUUCUAAAGUAAGGCAAUGGUCAAUGUUUGGAAGUUCGAGGAAUCGUGCCCUACCGUGUUGGGUUUCGGUUUUUCGUUGAACUAAAUAAUUGGGGCAUCCUUUUGUGAUUUGCAACAUAUAAAUUUUUGGAAGUCAAAAGUUUAUCAUGUUUUCGAGAGCAUAGAGGAUCGUGUCCUAUCAUGCUGGACGUGAUGUUGUAUACCCUUGAGACGAAAAAGUUUUGACGACCAACUCUAACCAUUCAAACGUUUUAAAAGAAACCAUAUUUCAAUUUUUUUAAAAUUUUAGACAUAAGGGCAAUAUUUAAUCAAUUCGGUACCAAUUUUGGGCGUAGUGAGUGUGCUAACCCUUCCUCAUGCGUAACCGACUCUCGAACUCGUUUUUUGAUUUUUCGUAGACCAAAAAUUAUUGUUUUAGUAAAUCUUAAUUUUUAUUAAAACGAUUAAUUUGGGGUGACCCGAUCACACCUCAUCAAAAAGGAUUGGUGGCGACUCCCUCAAUUUUCGUUUUCUUUUCAAAAUAGAAAGUCUGUAACACCCCAACAAUUGGGCCUAGAAGAGUUGGGUUUUGAGUCUGGGAUUCGGAUAGAAGAAAACCUGAAUAAUUAAGAAGUUUUAAAUAUUAUCGUUUAAGAAAAAAAUUUUGAAUUAAAUUACUACUAGAAAAUUUUUACUAUAUUUAUUAUUACGGAUAUUUUAAAUUUUUAUGAAAUUUUAAUUAGUAUUAACAGAUAAAAUUAUUAUUAUUAGAAAAUUUUACUGUAUGUAUUUUUAUUGAUUUAUGGAAAUUAUAAUUAUUAUUAUUAGGAAAAAAUAUAUAUAUAUUAUCGUAUUUGAAAUUUUUAUUAUUAUGGUUAUUAUUAUUAUUAUUUUAGUUUUUAAAUAAAUUUAGAAGUAUUUAAAGUGGGGGAAAAAUUCGAUCCAAGACUCUAGCAAAAAUUAUUAUUUUUACUUCUUUAGGGGAUCUGGAAAUUAAGGUUUAUUAAUAAUUUGGGCUAAAAUUGGACAAAAGGAGGAGUCUGGCCUAGUGGUUAGGCGUGUUAAGCAGUAGGAAAGGAGCAGGGGUUCGAUUCCCUGCGUGCACAAAUUUGGUUUUUUAUUUUAGAAAAACCAAGGGCUGUCGCAGGUAGGCGUUAUUAAUUCAGGCUAAUUCAUGUUGGAAGCAGGCAUCUGGCCCAGUGGCUAAGGACGUUUAUGGCGCAGUGGCAGUAGGGUAUUAGGAGUUUCACAAGGGUACGGGUUCGAGUUCAGGCGAAGGUAUGUUUAAUUUUAUAUUUUUAAAAUGUACGAGACUUUAGCAGGUAACCUUUAAGAUAAAAUGUGCGGGUAUAUGAUUGAAAAUACAUGCGCGUCCCAGUGGCCAGCAACGUGCUGGGCAGCUUGGAGGUUCUAGGUUCGAGCAGUGUUACGCGCAGGGGGUGCUUCUUUUUUACUGUACGUGCGUGGGAAGGGCCAUACGGGAUCGAAACGCUACCAGCAAAAGGAGGAGUUGGCUGAGCGGUGGACUGUUGCUCAGCAGUGGAGAGUUUGAAUUAAAUUUAAACUUUGAAUUUGGCCACGAAUUAAGGAGAUAAGGAAGGAAUUAAAGUUGGAAAAGGAUUUUAUUUUAUUCUAAUCUUAUUUUAUUUUUUUUGCUCAUAUUGUUUUUUAUUUUUUCUCAAAAGCUGAACAAUUCUCUCCUUUUCUAUUUUCUUUCCUCGAAGCCAAAUUCUUUUUAAAACAAUUUUUUCUUCUCAAAUAUUGGCUGCCGAUUACUCCUUUGGUUGAAACCAUAUCUCCUUUCCUUUUAAUCUUUAAAAAGACCGAACCUCUAAUCCUACAUCUCUUCCUCUACUGAUUGUCUCUUCGAAGGUGAACUUAUCGUCACCUAUUUUUUUUUCUUUUAGAUCGCAAUAGCCAUAUUCUAGGAUAGAUCCAAAAGCCGAAAAGCCUCAUAUUUUAGUAAUUCGGGAAUUAAUAUCUAGUUCUAUUCUCUACUCGCAUUCUAAGAUUGGAUUCACUGUGGAUCUGAGAUUGGGGAAGUGUUUGAAACGCUCUUGACAAGUACAUCAUUUGUGGUAAGUACUCAGAAUCUUAUUUUCUUCUUUAUUUCGGGAUUUAAAGAAAAGCCGAAAACCCCUAUAUGCAAAGGGUGCCUGUCGACUAAACUAAAAGGGUUUAGUGGUGUUAUUAGAUUUGUUUUGCUCUAGUGUGGAUUAAAGGCUACUAAUUGAGGGCUUGGAUAUUUGGAAUGACCAAAAUUAGAUCUAGUCCAUUUUUUCGACAAAGGUAAGAACUUUAGUGCCUAAGGUGUUAAGGGCCAAAUAUGGUAAGGGUUUGAUGUGUUAAGUUGUUAUGGAUUCAUAGUUUAACGUGUUAGUAACUGAUUGUAGGCAACUCGUGUGUGGAACUCGUCAACGUUUCGUCGAAAAAUAGGUGUGUAAACGACACCCACUCAUAGACUAGAUCGGUAAAAGUCGAAAAGCCGAAAAGCCGGCAUGUGUGAACUUACGAGCGUGCGAGCGCUUGUGAGGUGGUUUGGUUGUUAAUUUUGGUAGUCACAAGCAGUAUGAUUGUAGAGUGCGCAAUUUCGUGCACUUCGGUAUAUUUGGGCUUAAUGGGCCGAAAAAGGUUUAAUGGGCCAACAGGCCCCAUUCGGUAAAAACGCUCGGUAAGUGCUUCUGUUAAUGUGUUAAUGGUUAGAAUAUGUAUUUAAACUCUAGAAUAGUAAAUUUUAUUAAACUACCCCUAAGUAUGAAAAUUAUCAUUUUAUCCCUAGGUACAAAAUGACCGUUAUACCCCUAGGGUUAAUUUUGACUGAAAUACAUGAUAUUCUGAUUAUGUUUGUUAUAUGCCAUGACAUGUAUAUCUGUUGCAUGGGGUUGGGUUUUGUUAUGGAGGAAGAACCCGUUCUGGUGGCAAUGCCACAUAUUCUGAUAUAAGCAGCUUUGCUGCGGAUUAUAGUUAGUGCCGCAACCGGUGCUAACACUGUAAGUGUAGGGAUGGCGUGGGUGAUUUAUUCCCCACAGGAAGUGUAGGGAUGGACGGAGGCAAGUGCAGGGUUGGAUGGGUUUAUCAUGCAUUAAUCAUAUGAGACUGUAUUGAAAUGGGCCCAACUGUGUCAAUAUGGGCAAGGCCCAAUAUAUCUCGACUUGUAAUAGGGCUACGGCCCAGAUUGAUACUGAUAUGGGCUAGGCCCAAUAUACUCUGAUACUGUAAGGGGCUAUGGCCCAGAUUAAUAUUGAUAUGGGCUAAGGCCCAAUUAACUUUGAUUUCUGAAUAGGGCUUAGGCCCAGUAAAGCUUGAUUUGGGCUCUGGUUGGGAUACUUUACACACUGAGUUUUCCAAACUCACCCCCCUUUUUCCCAUCUUUGCGGGUGAGCCUUAGAUCGAUGGACUUGGAGCUGGGCGGGAUUUAGAGUGGCCACGAAGAUUAAAUUUCUGGUUUUUAAAUAAGUUUCAAUUAGCUUCCUUUUAAAUUUCGCAUUUAUUUUUGAUUAUUUUUAUUCUGGUUUAAGUUGUAAUAAGGCCGCUCUUUUUAUUAUUUUUAAUAUUUUGGGUUAUUAAAUUGGUUAGCUCUAGGGCGCAUUUUAUAAAAGUUACUUAUUUUCAAAAUAUCACGAUUACCGAGCAAAGCUUCCGCAACGUAAACGUUUUCAAAGGAAAUAAAUAUUUUAAAUGGACUUAAACUUAAUUUGUUGUUCAUGGACAAGUAAUAUGCUUUAAGUGUGGCAAUAGAUGUGUGCAUGUCUAGGAUUGGAUCCAUGAAGAGCUUGGUACUUAAGCAGUUCAAUAGACUCACCUCCUCUUUUCUGGCUUCCUACCUGGUGCACAGCUUCCAUUCACUUUAAUCUAUAACGAAAAUAUUCUUUUCAAAGAUUUUUAAUUAAAACAUGAGUUUUACAUCAAGAAGGGUUUUCAAUGAAAACACGGUUUUCGAAAACACCUCAAUGUGACAUGCCAAAUUCGGCCGUAACGUCUGGGCCGGGUUUGGGGUGUUACAAAGUUGAUCCCCAUUUUUCAAAAAAAUGGUUUUGACAAUAAGGACUAACAUUGACCAAUACGAGAAGUAAAUGGAUUGAAAUUGACUAAAAUAAAGUAUAAGUACUAAAUCCACAACUUAUGCAAAGUACCACUUCUAGUAAUAGAAUUUGACCAAUUUUUUUAUGAUUAAAGUAACUUUACUUUUGUAAAGUGAAAUUUUAGAUACGGUGAUGUCUUUUUCUUAGUAAGAAUUGGGUUGUAGUUGGGUCGAACCCCCAUAAGUGACCCAUAUGUCUUUUUGAUCUUGGUAAAUCUAUCAAUUUAUUUGGAUGAUUUACCAAUACUCACAACAUACCAAAUGACAAAUAAGAAAGCCCAACAUAUAACUAUAAAUUUAUUUAGAAAGUAUACAUGAAAUAUAUAGAUGCAAACAAUAACAUCACUCAACCAAACGUUUAUGAUAACAUGGUCUACAAGUGAAUCAUGAAAUGAACUCAAAUCUGCUGGUCAAGAAACUCCCAUAAAAAAGAAUAUCUAAAAACCAUAUGUUGAAUAUUGAGGGAAAACAAAAGUAGUAUCAUGAUUCAAGCUUCCGGCAUGGUAGGCAAUUAGGCAACUCAGAACCAUCCGGCAAUUAUGGUUUUGGUAACUCCAGAAUUUUUGGUAAUUCGGGAACUUUGGGCAAUUCUGGCUCUGAUAAAUUAGAUUUUUUCAAUUCGGGAGUUUUGGGUAAUUCUGGUUUCAAUUCAGGCUUUGGUAAUUCAGGAGCUUUGGGUAAUUUUGGCUUAGGCACUUCAAGAACUUUAGGCAAUUCAGGCAUUGGUAACUUAGGAACUUUUGGUGAUUCAUGUUUUGGCAACUUAGGAACUUUGGGUAAUUCUGGCUUGGGCAUCUCAGGAACUUUAAGCAAUUCAGGCUUUGGUAAAUCAUGAACUUUUGGUAAUUCGGGUUGUGGCAACUCUAGCUUGGGCACCUCAGGAAGUUUGGGAAAUUCAGACUUUGGUAACUCAGGAACUUUUAGUAAUUCGGGUUUUGGCAACUUAGGAGCUUUAGGUAAUUCUGGCUUGGACACCUCAGGAACUUUAGGCAAUUCUGGCUUUGGUAACUCAGAAACUUUAAAUAAUGGAUACUCAGGAGCUUUAGGUAAUUCUAGCUUGGGCACCUCAGGAAGUUUGGGUAAUUCUAGCUUUGGUAACUCAAGAGCUUUUGAUAAUUCAGGUUUUGGCAAUUCAGGAACUUUGGGUGAUUCUAGCUUGGGCACCUUAGGAACUUUCGGCAAUUCUUGUUUUGGUAAUUCAGGAACUUUUGGUAAUUUAGGUUUUAGUAGCUCAAGAGUUUUAGGUAAUUCUGGUUUGGGCACCUUAGGAACUUUAAGUAAUUCUGUCUUUGGAAACUUUGGCAACUCCAGAACUUUAGGCAAUUCAAGUUUUGGCAACUUUGGUAUUUUAGGUAUUUCAGGUUUUGAGAUUUCUGGCAACUCGGGCUUUGGGAGUUCAACCUUUGGAAAGGACGGCAUCUCAGGCAACUCUCGUUUAGGGAUCUCUGGCAUAGAUUUCUCUAAAAGACGUCAGGCACCAACCAAGACUAUGUUGCUGCUCAUCAAUGAUAGUGUGAAAAGUAAAAACGAUAUCACAAAGAAAGGGAAUCGAAGAGAAGCCAUGGUUAAAAAAACCAGAAGCUAGAUACCAAGAAGUGCUUCAAAAUGGAUAUUUGAAAUGUGCUUGUUUAUGCAAUUGCAUGAGCUGAUGACCCUUUUAUAGGUAUUGGGAAGUGAAGAUUUUGUUAGGUCAACUUCUCACCUAUUUAUUACUGAAAACUAUAUCAGACUAUGACAUAUAUGAUGAUGAUUGUCUAACAUAUAUAAUUUGUUGUCAUCAACUCAACGCCUUUGGCCUUUUUUAUGAGUUGAAUACUCGAUUAAUUUGUUUAUAUUAUCAUAAUAAAAUUAAACAAAUUGGAUUCAGUCUAUAACAACUUAGUUUUAACUUUUAAGUUUAUUUUCUUCAAACAUGAAGCCUGGAUUUCUAUCUUAAUGGCUCGCUCUUCAACAAAAACAUAAUAAUAUUUGUUAAUUUUGGAUAUGAUAUAAUGAUAAAAAAUAAUAUAAAUUAAUUUUAAAAUAUUAUUGUAGCGACGUAAAAAUUUUGAUUUCGGUCGCUAAUUGUGGCGAUCUAGUGAAAAAGUUUAGAAACUGAAGUUCGAUUUUAAAAUAAAGAGAGAGUUGCCACCGAUCCUUUUUCCUAGGUGUGAUCGAACACCUAUUAGAUUCAUUUUUUAAAACAAAAGGAAGGCUGAAUUUAGGUCUACGUUAAAAGCCAGAGAAAAAUUAGGGUUCGGGAGUCGGUUACGCGCGAGGAAGGUAUUAGCACCCUCGCGACGCCCAAAAAUUGGUAUCUCAUAAACACAUGUUGUCUUAAUUUUCAAAAAUGCGAAUUCAAUGUAAAGUUUAGUUAUGAUCCGGAAAAAAACGAGAAAUUUUAGUUUAUUCCGGUUUUUGAGAAAGGUAUAUUGCUUUAACACGAGUCAAUUGACGUUCACCCAACGUAGCGAUGAACUCGAUGACUUAAUGUUAAAUCGAUAUGUUGCCUUGAUUAUUGAAAUUAAUUAGCAAAACAAGAAUACGAUUUUCGAAAUAAUGCAAAGUAAAAUAAUAUGAAAUAAAAAUCAAUAAAUGAAAGAGCUAGGGAUAUAUUGAAACAAAUAAUCGAGGUGACAAUAAUAUUAGAAAAGAUGAAGGUAUAAUGUAAUAAUAGAAUUGGACACGAAAUUAAAAUAAUGAAUGUAUACACAUAAUAAUAAUAUUAAGAAUGCGUGUGUAAGAUGACAUAUAUAUUUAGCAAUAUUAAAAAUCCAUACAACAUAGAUAGAACAUAUAUAGUAUAUGCAUACCUUAGAAAUGAUAAGAAUAAUAAUAAAACUAUUUUGUACACUACACAAAUACAUACACACACAUAUAUAUAUAGAUAUAUAAACAAUAGUAUUAGGAAUAUACAAUAUAAUAUUAGAAACAUGUAUAUAAUAGUGUAAAAGAAAAAUAUGACAAAUAAGAUUAAAAUAUAUAUAAUAAUAUAUAAAAUAUAGUGUUAAAGUCUUAUAUACAUAACGUAUGUGCAAAACACAUAAGAUUAAAACAUUUAUAUAAUACAUACAUAUACAACGAAAAUACAUAUAUAAAAUAACAUGAGAAAUAUACGUAGGAAUUUAGUAUACAAAACUAACUAUUAAAUAAAAUCAUAUACAUACACGAAAUAAUACGUAUAAAAAAUAUAAUCAACAAUAUAAGAAUAUGUACAUGAAAUGGUAUAAGUAUAUAUUAUUAACAUUAAAAUACCUACGUAAUAUAUAUAAAAUAUAUGUAAUAUGUAUUAGAGACGAUCAUAAUAAUAUAAUAUAUAAUAAAAAACUGUUCACAUAUUACAUAAGUAUGUACAUAAAUAUAUAUAUAAUAAUGGUACCAGAAAUAUGUCUAUAAUAGCAUAAAAGAUAAUUUUAAAAUAUAUAUAUGGGGCAAUAUGCAAACUAUAUACAUAACAUGAUUAUAAAAAUGCAUGGCCUUAAACACACAUAUAACGUAUGCAUAUAUAAUAACAUAAACACAAACAUUAUAAAAAUAAAAUAAGAUAACGAUAAUAUUAAAAUGAAGUAAUCAAAAAACUAUAUAAAGGCUAUAUGUACAUAAAAAUAUAUAUGUAUAUAUAAGUAAAGAUAAACCAUAGUAAUAAAAAUAAUAUAAUAAUAAUAUAAAAAGUGGAUAAAAUAUAAUGAUAUAAAAAUAAAAUAAGAAUAAAGUAAUAGGUAAUUAUAAAUACAAUAUCAUUAAAAAUGAGAAAAGGUAAGAAAAAGGACAAAAAUUAAAAUAAAAUCGAAGUUAUGGGGCCAAUUUAAAAUAAAAACAAAGAAAAGGAACUUAAUUGUAACACGCGUGCAACUUGGAGGGUCAAAAGCGCAAUAAACCCAGGUAUUAAAACGCUGCGCUGCGUGGGGACCAGAAUGAAUUCGGGGCAAAACCAUGGGGCCAAAUUAAAAAUAAAAAACCCUUGAUUGUAAACUCCCAGAAAAGCGGAAGGGCUAGAAGUGCAAUUAGCCCUUCCAAAGAAAAACACGCGGAUCCUCCCUGGUGCGGGUCGGGUCGACCCGACCCGCUUCCAAAACGACGUCGUUUUUGUUUACUUGGGGGGGACCAAAACGCACCGUUUUGGUCCCCUAUAUAAGUUAAAAAUUUUGUUAUUUUUCUCAUUUGUGCAGCUGAAAGGAAAAAAAAAUAGAUGAGAGAAGGAGGAGAGGAGAAGGGGGGAAAGGGGAGAGCUCCGGCCGGGGGGGUUACCGGAAGCUCGCCGGCGCCGGCGCCGGCCACCGCGUGGUAAAAAUUUGAUUUCUUUUUUUAUUUUUUUAUAUUUUUAUACUUUUAUAUGUAUAUAUGCGGUAAAAUGGAUUUUAUAGCGAAAAUGAAAUAAUAAUGGAGAAAGAAAUAACCUUUAGUUUUUUCUUAACUUCCGAUUCUUUGAUUUUGGUAUUCGAUUGACUUGUAUGCUUUGAACGUUGCUAUUGAAUUCAAACGAUUAAUGGACUGCUAUUUUGAUUCUGGACUUUUUGAUGAUCUUUCUUGUUUUUUGAUUUUUAAAACUGCCAACAAAAGAGAAAGAAAGGCCAGCCCCCCUACUACAUUCGGAUCUGGCUUUUAUAGCCAUUUCUAUACAACAUUUUUUAAAGUUUCUGGCCAUUGCUCCUUGUCGUCUGCUCUGUCUUGGUGUUUGUUUCAUUUUGCAGGGUAUGGAGGGCCAGACGCAUGCGUGGAGAGUGGUGGUGGUAGUGCGCAAGGUGGCCAAUGGUUGGCCGUUGGUGAGAAGCGGCGGCUGACAAGAUGGGAGCUAGGGUUUGCUGCUGAAAUCUUCUAAGCAAAUGGGCUAUUAGGGUUUUAAAAUUUGGGCUCAGGUAGUUUUAGGAUUGGGCUAGGUUGGUUUAGGGUAUUGGGCUAGGUUAGUUGGGUUUUGGGUUUGGUUGUUGGGUUUUGGGGGUGGCCCAAAAUUGGCCUGUACAAUUAUAUAAUACAUGGACGUGAUAAAAUUUGUAUAAUACCUCAAAUAUAAUCAAAAUAUAAAAAACUAACGAUAUAAAUAUACAAAUUAUAAAAUAGAACAUGCCACCCAGUGUGUGUUUUUUUCUCUUUUUUGGUUUGUUGAACUACCAAUUUGAUUUUGCAACUGUGGUUAUGUGUUUAUGCUUGUUGUUAGGUUGAGCGAAGCUCGAUUCGAUUUGAAAAAAUAAAAAAAUUUUGAAUUUUGAGUUAAUCGAAUUGAGUUAUUCGGUUUUUUUUCGAGUCAACUUGAAUAAGUAAUUCAAGUUUCAAGUUCGAAUGGAGUUAAAUUUUACAAUUUGAAUAAUCCAAAUAACAGAUUGGUGUAAAUACCCAUUUAGUCCUUGUCAAUUUUAAAAAUAAGAAAUUUUAUCUCUCUAUUAACAAAAAUUACAAAAUAAUUUUUAAAAUUCAAAAUAUUUAUAAAAAUUCCAAAAUUUAUAUUUCUUAAAAAGAAUAUAACUUUUUUUUAAAAAAUCUAAAGAAUAUAUAAAGAAAAUUAAAAUUUUCUAAAAUUUCUAAAAUAAUAAUUUUGAGAUUUAAAUAAGCCAAUUAAUGAUUCAAAUGUAUUGUAUCUUUUUUUUUUCUUCUUAUUUUGCUUUGAAAAAGUUUUCAAAGACAUAUUGUUUCAAAUUUAUGUGCUCUAACAUGAAAUUAGUUAUACUAUAAUAAGAUUUUUGUAACACCCCAAACCCGGCCUAGACACUAUAGCCGAAUCCAAGAGUGUUCCAUGGAAGGUUUUCAAAAACAGUGUUAUUUUGAUAAAGCUUUGCUUCGUCGUUUGAUAAAUCACCCAAGUUUAAUGUCUAUCACUGAAAGCGUUAUUUAAUUAAUUCAUUUUUUCAAAACAUAAUCUACAGCGGAAGUUUUUAGAAAACAUUGUAUCUUGGAAAUCUAGUUUGUGUGUUCGGAGAAUCCUUUAUUUUUUUGUAAACCAUGAUUUUGGCCGAACGUGGCCAUAAAAGUUUAAACACCUCCAAAACCCAAAAUAAAAGUCAAAUAGUCCAAAUAGCCCAAUUAUUACGAACUUCCUGAAAUAAUCCUUAAAUUAGAUAAAAACCAUAAUCUUAAACAGUUUACGAACUUGUGGUAACUGUGAGGUUCCGUCACGCUGAUCCACCUAAGUUUAUGGAUUACCUGAACAAAACAGAUAAAUAGAUUUGAGUUUUCGUAAAGUCAAUAUGUAACCCAAUAGAAAUAGAAAUAGACAUGCAAUACAUACAGAAAUCUCAUAUAUAGUUAGAUACAGAUUUGGACUUAUGUCCAUUUUAAAUACAGAUAACAGAAUCAAAUAAGCAGUAUAGAUACGCAGAAUCCUACCCCCAUCCUCUACACACCAUCUCCAACCAUCUCAUCACACCAUGUGGGGUUAAAAACGCUCACCCAUCUCUACACACCAUAUAGUGUCGAUGCGACACAUUACAGAAAAUAUGCAGCCAAGUUGUCAGAAUAUAGGCGAAGUGUCGUCAUACAGACCACUUCUUCCACAUAUACAAAACCCACCCUAGUCACAGAUGCAUAAUACAUAUACAAAAAUAACAGAUGCAGUAAUAUCAUGCAUAACAUGCUCAUAUACAGACAACAUAUGUAUAUACUUAAACAGAACAAAUGUACAUAUAUGUAUCCUACACAAUGCAGACUAUCAGAAUAUCAGAUCACAUACAUUAGGGUUUGGUUAGCCCUUACCAACCCUACAGUGGGCUCACAGUCGAUCGGAAUGAACCGUGCGAUCCUAGGGAAGGUUUCAGAAUUUUGGGCCCAAAUUCCCAGAUUGGUCUUGCCCGUGUAACCAACAUGGCCUGGCCCAAAACCCACACGCCCGUGUGGCGCACGCGCCUAGUUGGCCUAGCCCAUGUGGCUCACACGACCACACCCACACCACCACACGGCCGUGUCUUGCACACAGCAGCACCUUCGUUAGACACACGGCCGUGUCUCCCACAUAGCCAACCACACAGCCAAGCACACGCCCGUGUGGCGUCGACAGAGAGCUUUUUCAGCUUUUGCCAAAACCCGAUUUUCUGCGUUGUGGGUACACACCUGGUUCGUUUUUGAUGUUGCAGCACUUCCGAGACCUCCGAAACCUAAAAAAAAAUAUUCCAAAAACAAAUUUAGUAAUCAAUUCACGAAUACCCCAAAACUAAACCGAGCAAAACGCACUCACUUACUGCCAACAAACCCAUUCACUCUCACAGAUUAGACCGUUGAAGUGAAACUACUACUUCAUUGUCUUCUCCUAUGCAAUAGAUUCACAAAAUUUCAACCUUCAGAAAUCAAAAGCUAAAGGAAUACAAACAAACCCCACUUACCUAUUACACGAAAACCCAAGGGUUCGAAACACACAAGAGUAAUGAUUAGUGACAGAAACAAAAAAACGGAGAAAGGAGAGUUUAAUUUUUCGUCAGAGAGCAGAGAAAAAGAAAAGAACAACAAAGGGAAUUUCUUUUUGGGAAAAAGAAGAACGCCAGAAAAUGACAGAUUUUUAGGGAAAAAAAGAAAAAGAAAAAAAUAAUUUAAUUUAAUUUGAAAACAAAAUCCCACAAAAUUCCAACUCCCCACUAAGAAUAUAACCCAAUCUACUAAGGAUAAGGCUAGGAUUAGAAAAAUAACAAAAUUUGCAAAUAUAGGACUUGAACCCAAGACCUCAUACACACCCCCUAAAACACUUAACCACUGAAGCAAACACACAUUUGUGUCAAGUAUUUACAGAUAUAGAAAUAAUUUAAGCGAGGCAUUACAAUUUUAAUUUGACAUGUUUAAUUUUUUUAAUUUAACUCAAAUAAUUUCACUCAAUUAGAAUGGACUCGACUCAACUUGAAUUUCAUUUCACACGACUCAAUUCGAAAAAUUUUCAAAUUUAGUUAGGAUGAUAACAUAUGAAUCGUCAACUCAAAUAACUCGAAAUUUUUUCUCUCGAUUUGGUUUAACUCAAUUCAAUCGAACAUUCACUCUUACUAUUUGUUAUUUCAUUUAAAAGAAAAAGAAAGAAAAAUCUAAUGAGAGUUCAAGAAAAAUCUAAUGAGAGUUCUUUUAAAAUCAUAAUUAUGCCUAAAAAACCCAAUGAGUCGCACACUAAGCAUAGCAAUUAUAUUAAAUGACUAUAGCUGUAGACACUCAAUUUUGCCCGGUCUAUUUCAGUAUUUAAAAUAAUAAACCCAAAAAAAAAAACGAAGUCCAAGUUCAGUCCAGAAUUACAAAUAUAAUUUGGCCUGAUCGGAAUGGCCCAUUACUUGAAAAGAUUUAAGGUCCAUCUACAAGCUUGACUCAUAUGGAAAUAUAAUCUUCAAUGAUAUGCAAUCUUAGAUAUGAUACAAUCUUAGAUAUGAUUGCAAUCUUAGAUAUAAUAUACAAUCUUAGAAGAUAUGAUUUUGUAAUCUUGGAGAUUUAAUUUGUAGAUAUCCUUUAAUCUUAACCGUUGAUGUAAUUGAUCUGUAUCGUUGGAUUUGGGGAGGCUCAACUAUAAAUAGAGGCCUCUCCCUUCAUUGUAAAGGGACUUGAGUUUUGGGAAGCAAUAAGAAUUCUUGAGAGCAUUCACUCAAAUUUCUCUCCCUCUUGCGUUCUUACUCUCUGUGGUUUGUUCUUAUUUUAUUCUUCGUCUAUCUUAGUUUUUCAACCCUUUUUUUAUUUUAAUUUCUUCAUUUUUCAAAUAUGUAUAUUUUUUCCUAUCUUUUAUACAUUUGAUUAUGUAUUUUAUAUAUCAUAAUAUUUAACCUUUUUAUAUAGUUUAUUUUCAAAUAUAUAUUUUCUAUGCAUGUAUAUAUAUUAUAUAAUCGUUUCAUUAUAAAUAUAAAUUCUUUUACAUAUUUGAUAUUUUAUACAUUAUUUUUCUAAACCAAUAUAUAAUAUAUUUUUUAUAUAAUUAUUAUUCUUAUAAAUAUAUUUUUUAUUAUAUAUUAUAUUUUAAAUUUAUUAUUAAAUAUCACAUUUUUUUAUAUGCUCAUUCUAUUUAUCAAUUGUUUAUAUUAUACAUAUAUUUUUAAAACUUAUGUUUUUAUUAUUAUACAAUAUUUGUUUUUACUUUAGAAUUAAUGUAUUAUUGUUAUGUUAUGUAUUUCAUAUGUUAUGUAAUAUCUUAGACUUUUAUAAUUUACUUUCAAAUGUAUAUUUUUAUAUAUGUACAUUGAUAUAUUGUAUUAUAUGCAUCAUUUCAUUUAUUAAUCUAUUCAUGUGUACAUUAAAUUAUUGGAUUGUAUAUUUUAUAUUUUAUGUAGAUUAUGUUUAUCCAUUUGCUAUGCAUGUCAUCUAUUUUUACUCAUACAUAUUUUACACAUUAAUAUUUACCAUAUUUUUUAUAUUAUUUAAUGUUUUAUUUAUGAUAUUGUAUAUAAUUAGUGCAUUUAUUAUGCUUUCUUUUGGGUAUAUUCCUAUUUGCUUAGCAUGAUUAUUUUUAUUAUUCUAUUUUACCCUCUAUAUAGUGAUUGUAUUUAUAUAAAGUGUUAUAAUACUUUGUAAUAUACGCUAUUUGAAUAUCUAUGUUUCUUAAUAUAGAAUUGUUACUCUAAAAGGUCAUUUAAAACAAUAUUUAAAAGUUUUAUAAAAAUAAAAAAGACAAUGCUUAGUAUUUGAAACCUUCGAGAAAAGUAGUGCCCUAACCUAUUGGGUUGCAACUUUUCUCGCUGAGUUCGAAUAGUAAAGUACCCUUCUAAGUUUUUAAGAUUUUCAAAAUACGAGCAACUGUCAUGGAAUUUCAAAGCGUUGUGUCCUAACUUAUUGGAUGUGGCGAUUUGUCGUUUCGAGAUAGGGAUUUCCAAAAGGUUAACUUAGUGUCAAUGUUUUGAUACGAGUGAACCCAAAUUUUCAAAAUCAAAGUAUUUUAAAGAGGAUUACAUCUUAAAAUUUUUUAAAUUUCUGACAUUAAAGACAUUUGAUAAUCAAUUAGGUACCAAUUUUUGGGCGUUACGAGGGUGCUAAUCCUUCCUCGUACGUAACCGACUCCCGAAUCCGUUCUUUUAUUUCGUGGACCAAAACUAAUGAUUUUAAAACAAAAUGUUUUAAAGGUGAUCCAAUCACACCUAAAAAGAUUGGUGGCGACUCCCGUUUUCGUUUUUAAAAUUGAUUCUCAUUUUUCAAAACUCGAUUUGAAAAUGGUUUCGACAAUAGCACUAAUAAUCAACUCAUCGCGUCGGAUUAUAUCAAAUGACUAUGGCACAGAUAAAAUUUUGUUUGAUAUUCUUUGAAUGUUACAUGAAUUAAAAAAAAAUUUAAAAUUUUACUAUUAGCAUUUAUAUUAUGUAUAAGUUGCAUAUUUAAGCUAUAUAUUUUAAUUUGGUUAAUUUUAGUAUUGUACUUUUCGAAUUUUGAAAUUCUAAUUCUUAUUUAAACCAUAACAAUUAAAUUCGUUAUGUCGAAUUCUGCUAUUAGUCUUUUACUAUGAGCAAGUAGUGGAUUUAGUAUUUAUUUUUCAAUUUGAUUAUUUUCAAUUAAUAUAGUUUUAUAAUUUUAUAUUUUCAAUAAUGCCUCAAAUGGUAGUCAUAUUAAAUUCAUUAACAAAAAUAAUGUGGCUUUUGUGUAAGUAUUAUGUGAAAAUAGGAAAUGGACAUAGCAUUAGAAAUGUGAUGCGAUUAAAAUAUUACAACACAUUAACAUAAGUGACUAAAACGUAACAUUUCAAACAUAAAUGACUAAAAUAUAACCUGAAGAAAACAAAAGUGGCUAUUUUAAUAAUUUAUCUUAUAAAUUAAUAAAUCACAUAACUAUUUCCAAAACCUCAACUAGUGAAUUAGAAAUAAAGACCAUGAACAAGGUUGAAGUCAUCUUAGAGGACAAAACUGCAAAUCUAUAUGUGCUAGCCAACACUGAAACGGGCACUUCAUUUUAGAAAAUUCUUUUACUAGCAUGAUAUAUAAUAGAUUAAUUAUAACGUAGAAUCAGAUUAAUAUAAUGGAUGAAUAAUCAUAAAAGCUUGGAUGAAAAUUAAAAAGAACUAGACAAAACCUAUAGUCAUGGCGUACACACAUGUUGAGACUGAAGAUCUACACAUUGCAAUUACGAAUAAUGAGAUUCAAAUCUAGAUACUCAAAUACCCAAGAUCUCUGCCUUGAUCAACAAUGCCAAGCUCUAAUUUGUUGAAUAUCAAUACCAACUUGUUGGAAAAUAUGUUUUGUUAAUGUUUAUUGUUGUACGAAGUUUAGCUUUUGUCUUUAGUUUUUGGAUACUAUGUUUAGUUUAAGAAUUUUGUUAGUAGGGGAAUAAAUCUCACAUCACUUAAGAACAAAAGGCAAAGGGUUAUGAGUUUAUAUAAAAUCUCAUAUCUUACUUUGCUUCGAAAAACAAUGGUAGUGGGACCUUGGGUCUAUAUAAUGAUGACUUAUUUUGUAAGUAUUAUUUACACCAUUUGGUUUUUUCUAAUUCCUUAUUGUUUCUUAUUUUGGAGUGUUGGGGAGGUGUAGCUAAAUAUUAGUUUAACAACAUUGUGGUCGUGUGUAUUCUACAAUUGGCAUUAGAGCUUGGUUAGAGGAGUAAAAUUUUUGUCAGUAUGCUUUGUGGUUGCAACAUUUGUCUGAUCUUCCACAUCAAAAAAGAAAUUAUAGCUACUUGGAGAUUGUCCUUAGCUGCUUAGUUAUUGGUACUUAAGAGUGUCUGUUGUGACCCACAUUUCUUUCUUGGGAACUACUAGGUGCAUUGUUCAUGAACUACUUUUACUAUUUAGGUAUUCAAUUGUAAGAAUCAUCUGUUGAUAUGAUGACGGGGCUGCAAGUUGUCGGCGGAAUGAAGAAGCCUAAUAACAACUAUUAUACAUGGUUAACUUGCAUAAUGUCUUAUAUGCAAGGACAAGAACUUUGGGAGGUUGUCGACAGUAAUGAAGUGAUGCAACUGGAACCCGAGGAUGCAAGCAGCAUGCUAAGAAAAUGGAAAAUAAAAUCCGGUAAGGCAAUCAGGGGCAAAGCCAGAACAAUUUUUUAGGGGGGCCGAAUGAAAUUUUAAUUUUUAUAUAGUCUAUGUCGAAACCUUUUUUUUGAAAACGGAGUCGACAUUGGUUUUGAAGAUGAAAAACGAAAAUUGGGAGUCGCCACCAAUCUUUUUUGUUUAGGUGUAAUCGGAUCACCUAGAAAUUUGGUUAUUUUAAUAAAACAUUUUGAUUUCCUAAAACAAAGAUUAUGGUCUACGAAAUUUGAGAAAACUGGUUCGGGAGUCGGUUACGUACGAGGAAGGAUUAGCACCCUCGUAACGCCCAAAAUUGGUACCUAAUUGAUUAAUUAAUGUCUUAAUGUCGAAAUUUAAAAACUCGAAAAGAAUUAAAAAUACGAUCCUCUCUUUUUUAAUGUUGUUUUUUACGAAGAAUUUGCUUGCGUAAAUCGAAAUUGAUGUUAAAGACUUUCUUGUCUCGAAGUAAUAAAAUACCACAUCCAGUAAGUUUGAACACAAUGUAGACACUCAAUUUUGUCCGGGCCCAGAAAUAAGUCCAAAAACAAAAAUAUAAUAAACUCAAAAAAAAACCGAAGUCCAAGUUCAGUCCAGAAUUACAAAUAUAAUUUGACCCGAUCGGAAUGGCCCAUUACUUGAAAAGAUUUAAGGUCCAUCUACAAGCUUGACUCAUAUGGAAAUAUAAUCUUCAAUGAUAUGCAAUCUUAGAUAUGAUAUGCAAUUUUAGAUAUGAUACAAUCUUAGAUAUGAUUGCAAUCUUAGAUAUGAUAUGCAAUCUUAGAAGAUAUGAUUUUGUAAUCUUAGAGAUUUAAUUUGUAGAUACCUUUUAAUCUUAACCGUUGAUGUAAUUGAUCUGUACCGUUGGAUUUGGGGAGGCUCAACUAUAAAUUGAAGCCUCUCCCCUCAUUGUAAAACAACUUGACUUCACUUGAGUUUUGGGAAGCAAUAAGAAUUCUUAAGAGCAUUCACUCAAAUUUCUCUCCCUCUUGCGUUCUUAUUUUCUACAGUUUGUUCUUAUUUAUUCUUUGUUCAUUUUCUUUUUCAACCUUUUUUUUAUUUUGAUUUAAUCCCUAUUUCCUUGAUUUUUAAUUCUCUUUUAUAUUUUAUUUUUUUAAUAAUUUUAGUAUUAUAUCAAACUAUUUUUUAUUAAAUUCUAUAUUAUUCAUUGUUUUAAAAAAUAUAUUUCAUUUAAUUGAAAAAGUUUUUCUUAAAUAAGGCAAUGUUUGGUGUUUAGAAAUUCAGGAAAUAGUGCCCUAACAUGCUGGGUUGCGAUUUUUCGUUUGACUAAAUAACCAAAUAUCCUUUUAAUAAAUUUUCAAAAUCAUGAGAUAAUUUUAGUUACGAGGAUUUAAAACAUCGUGUCCUAACAUGCUGGAUGUAAUGUUUGUAUACUUUCGGAACAAAGGAAUCUCAAGUUUCAACUUUAAAUUGUUCAAGUUUUAAAAUCUUUUCAAAUUUUCGACAUUAGGACAAUAAAUAAUCAAUUCGGUACCAAUUUUAGGCGUUAUGAGGGUGCUAAUCCUUCCUUGUGCAUAACCGAAUCCCGAACCUAUUUUCUUGAAUUUCUAGACCAAAAUGUUUUAUAAAGGUGAUCCAAUUACACCUAAAAAGGUUGGUGGCGACUCCCAUUUUCAUUUUUCAAAAAGUCGAACCCCGUUUUUCAAACCCCUUUAAAAAAUGGUUUCGACACACAACAUUUUAAAACCUCGAGAAUAAGCUUGUCUUUUGAUUUUCAAAAUUCAUGCGUUUUAAUUUUAAAAGGAUAUUCGAUUAUUUGGUUUAAACGAGAAAAAUCGAAACCUAGUAAGUUAGGGCACGUUUUCUCGAAUUUCCAAACACGAAAUAUUGUCCCCUUUUUUUAAUGAAGAAAACAUGAACAUAAUUUUAAAAAGGAUAUUUGGUCAUUUGGUCAAACAAAAAAUCGAAACCCAGCACAUUAGGGCAUGAUUUCUUGAAUUUCCAAAACACAAAAUAUCGCCUUUAUUAAAGAAUUCCUUUUAUGAAUUUUGGUGAAAGUUGGUGUAUCAUUUAAAAUGAUGUAUACUCGAUUUGUUCAAGUAUGCCUAAAACAUAAAUUUGCAUUCAAUAAGCAAUGAUGCAAUAUGAAUUUAAAAUGAACCAAUAAAGCAUAAAACUUAUGAUAAUAAUAGAAAUAACAAUAAUAUACAUAGUAGUUCCAUAAUAAUAAUAAUAAUAAUAAUAAUAGUAAAACAUUAGAUAUACGAGUGACACGUAUGAUCUAAUUUUUUUAAAAUAUAAAAAAAAAGGAAUGAGUAAAUUAGUGAAAUAAUAAUGAUAGAAUAUAACAAAGCAAUAAACAUAUACAAUCGGAAUUUUUAAGUAUGAAAGGGGGAUGUAAAUAAAUAAACAAAUAGAUGAUGAUGGAAUAAUAAUGGAUAAUAAUAAUAAAUAAUCAUAUAAAAUAAAAUGAACUUCGAAACAUGCAAAAAUGUAUGUAUAAAGAAAUAAAUAAGUGAUAAAAUAAAUCAUAGUGAGUAAUAAUAAUAAAGAAUUUGGGUUGUACAGUCUAUGUCUAUAAUUUUUAAAGGAUUAAUGUAACAGCUUAAUUUUCAGUGGUGUCCGGAAUAGAGAUUUGAGAUCACUAAAUCCGACGAGUGAGUAGAAAAUUUAAUAAAUUAAUACCUAUGAGUCAAAUGUGAAUAUAGAAGUAUUUUUGAAUUAGUGAAUUUGGUGAUUUAAAAUAAUUAAUUAGGUAAAUUGGGUCAAGAAUGAGGUAUCGAGACCUCAACUUCAUAAACCGAGUCAUAAAUAUUUUUAGAAAUAUUUAUGAAGUGUUAGUGAGGUAGUAUUAAAAUUUUGUCAGAAAAUUUUGACGUUUGGGUGGUUAAUUAAAUAAAAAGAACUAAAUUGAAAAAGGUGUAAGAGUUGCUAAAAGGAUUAAAUAGCUCAAUUGUCAAAUGAGGAAGGACCUAAAGUGAAAAUAAGCCCAAAGGAGAUAUUUUGGGCGGUAAUAGCUAAGAAAAAUUCAGGAAAAGGGUGAAAGAAGGGCAAAAUUGGAAAAUUACCAAAAUUAGCUAAUUAAAAAUGGGACCAAAUUGGAAUAUCUACAAUUCUCUUCAUUUUUUCUUCAUUCUUAUCAGAAAAAAUGCCAUAGGAGGGGUUCUAUAUCCUUUUAUUCCAUAAUUUUUGCACCAAGUGAGUUAAUCCUUGCCUUUUUCUUAUAAUUUUUGUGUUUUUAAGACUUUUACAACUAGGUCCUACUAUUAAAUUCAUUAGUUUUUGAUUUCAUGGAUGAAAUUGAAAGUCAUCAUGGUUGAUUUCUGUAAGUUUAUGAUGAAAUAGCAUGAAAUUUAAGCUUUAAUUUGUUUAUGAGAUGAUUUUAUUAGGUAAUUUCAAUAGAAAUUGAUUUUUAGGACCUAAUUGUGAAAAUGUUUGAAAUUAAAGUCUAGUGCUGAAAUUCUGAUUUCCAAAGGUUAUAAAGUAAUUUAAAGUGAUAGAAUAAAGUGUUAAUUGAGAAAAAUCAGCUCAAUUGAGAGGCUAAUUGAGUAGGGACGAAAUUAUUAUUUAUUAAAAGUUUAGGGGAAAAUGGUAACAAACAUCUUGCACUGAAACAGUUUUGAACAGCAGCAGUAAGCUAACUUUGAAAAAUCACCAUAAAUUUUAGAAAUCGAAUUAGAAGAUGAACAAAAUAUGGAAUUAAAUCUUAUUGAGUCUAGUUUCUCAUAGAAGAAAAGGUGUAAGCAAUGGAAUUGUAAAUCAUGAGAUAUAAUAAAUUUUGUAAGACAAGGUCAGAAUGAAUUUGGGUUCCCCUGUUCUUAUUUUGAAAAAUCAUAAAAAAUUUAAUAAAAAUAAUUAUGGGUUUAAAUUUAUAUUUUUAGAAUCCUGAAUUAGUCUAUUUUCAAUAGAAACAAACGGGAACAUUAUUCAAAUCCUGUACAAGGAGAUAAUUAAUUUUUAGUGAAGAAGGUUCGGAACUAUCAGACAGCAGAACAGGGGUGAAUUUAAAGAAUAAACUGUACUUAUUGGUUAAACCAAAAAUUAUUAAAAUUUUAUGGUAAGAAGAUACGUGAGUCUAGUUUCAAGGAAAAUUAGUGGAUCUUAAUUUGGAGUUCUGUAGCUCAAGAAAAAAAUAAUUUAGUGACUAUGACACGGAUGGAUAGCUUGAAUAUUCACAUAAGUAAAUAGUGAAAAUUAUGGAUAAUGUUACUUACAAGUGUGUUAUUUAUACUAAGGAUAUGGAUGGAGAGGAGGAGGAGGAAAAUAUACAUAUAUAUAUAUGAAUGGCUUGUGUAUAAAUUGAUCACAUGCCCGAUUAUAAUCGAUAAAUGUUGAAUUAGAAAUGAUAUAAUGUUUUAUUUGGAAUAUUUAUUAUGAAAUUAUGAUUAUCGCUAUAAUACAAAAAUCGAACUUGUGAGUUUAUAUAAAUAAAUUUUAGUGACCAUUUGUUAAUAUUAUUAAAUUUCAAUAUUAUUUUAUGAAUGGUGAUUAAUAUUUAUGUAUGUUAAUUGUUGAAAAUAAGUAAAUUAUGUACAAAAGUUAUGAAACUGAAUUGAGUAUUUCGGAGGAACGGAAUGCAGGAAAUGAGUACGAUCUUUCAGUGAAAAAGAUGAAUUGACGGUAAAUUACCCAAGUAAACCGAGAUUCAGCAUUUAUUCUGAAUUCUCGUGUUUGCUUUCCAUUUAGCUCUUACGAGAUUUCGUUAACUUAUAUGAGUUUCAGUUAACCCUUUUGGGGUUUCAGUUCAGCUCGAUGAGCUUCAGUUAGCCUUCGGGCUUCCGUUUAGCACUUGUGUGCUUCAGUUAGCCUUCAGGUUUCCGUUUAGCACUUGUGUACUUCAGUAGCCUUCGAGCUUCCGUUUAGCACUUAUGUGCUUCAGUUAGACUUCGAGCUUCAGAUCACGAUGUACUCAAAUCUGUAAGCCGUUCCUUGAAUGGACAAGUUGGUAAGUCGUAAAUGUAACGUGUGGAAAAAGAAAUGUAAGUAAUGUUAUCAUUAUUAUUAUUGAGCUCAAUUAUGUGAUUUCGUCAUUUAGAGAUUGUGUUUGACAGGAUAUGUUAGUAAAUUAUGAGUAUGUGAAUCAAAGUGACAGAAUUUAAAUACCUAAUGAGGUUGAGCUCAUUCACAUGAAUUUUUCAUUUGAAAUUGUGAUUGACAGGAAGAAACAGUGAAUUGCAUGCUUAUGAAUGGUUACACAUAAUUAUCUGAAAAACAAGAAAAAUGACGGUUAUUGAUAUAUGGAGACAUGAGACAUUGAUAUAUGAAUGUGGAAUAUGUUUGAUAAAUGUGUUCAUUCAUAAUUAUGGAAUUAUGUACCUCACGUGUGCUAUUUGCAUAAAGAUGAUAUUUCAAAUACUUUGGUGAAUAAAGCUUAACUAUGGAAUAGUAUGAAAUCGAGACAAGUUGUUAUGAAAAUAUAUUUAAAUUAUCUGUAAGUGUUUCAUACUCCUUGGUAAUGCCUCGUACUCUAUUCCGGUGACGGAUACGAGUAGGGGGUGUUACAAUUAAAUCAAUUUUUUAUAAUUUUAGGGGGGCCAAAGUGCAAUUUUAUCUUUACUAAUUUAAAAUUUUAAAAAAGUUAAAGGGCCUAAAUGGCAAUUUUUAUUUUAAGGGGGCCGGGGCCCAUGCCAGUCCCUGCUAGAGUCACCUCUGAAGGCAAUGUUUGCCUUAAAGACACUGAUUGAGGAGGAUGUUUGAACGGAGCAUUCAUGAAAGGGGAGGUUUGAACAACCACAACAAUAAUAAAAAAAGUCAUACCCCACGUUGCUUAAAAAAACAAGAAUAGUGAGAUCUCAUGUCUAUAGAAAGACCUAUGUUGUAAGUAUUAUUUCUAUCAAACUAAAUAUUGAAUUUUCUAUGUGGUUUCUUCUAAUAUUCUUUUUGUAUCUUAUUUUGGAGUAUUGGGAAGUGUAGCUAAAUAUCAGUUUAGCAAUACCGUGGUUGUAAGUGUUCUACAUAAUUCGCAUAUUAAUUUAUGUCAAGAGUUAAUUUGUGUAUGUCAUUUUGCUUUGAUAUGUACUUAAAUAAUUUUUUUAUUUCAAGUGAAAUAUAAAUUUAUGUUAAGAUCAAAGACUUAUUUAGAUAAAAAUUAAAAGCUGAAAAAGAUUUUUUUUUUUUUGUAUAUUGUUCAUAUUUAUUAUACAAUUCAUAUUUAUUUUAUAGUCUAUAUGUUUGGAGUUUGUAUCUGUCCCUCUUAAAAAUGAUAAAUUGACACUUUCUAAACAAUCUUUUAUCAUAUUAGGUUGAUAAGCAAUUAAUUUACUCAUAUUAUCAUAGUAUAUUAACAAAUUGGACCCCCUACAACCCUAGCAUUCGUUUAACAAAUUUGCUAUUUUUUAUUUGUUGAACUAUUUACCAAAUGAUGAAACUUAGAAGACAAUUAAACUAUUAAAGUUUGUUUACUCACAAUGGACAUAAGAAAUGAAUUAGUAUUCCAAAAUUAAAUUAUUUAAAAUAAUCAUUUUAAUGCCUUAUUUAAUUUUGGAAUGAAUUUUUUGUGUUUAAUGUAUCAUAAUUUAAAAUUAAAUUAAAUUAAUUAUUUAACACAAGUAAAACAAUAAUUUUAAUGUAUUAUUAUUUUUAUAUAAAUAACAUUUUUUUUUAUAUUAUACGAUAAAAACCACCCUAAACGAUUUUUUAAAAGCCACGUGGAAAUUAUAUGACUAAUAUACAUUAUAUAUGAUAAACAUUGAUUUAAUGAUUACAUCAUUCGUUCGUUAAUGAUUUAAUAUCUCGAUGAUUUAAAUCAUUAAAAAUGGUCAACUACCGGAUGUUGCAAUAAAAGAUGAUGCUUGUAAUAAGACAAGGAUAUUAAUCACAAUAGAUGAAAUGGGAUGGGUAGGGGAAUGCUAGAUAUUUUCUUUAAUGAAAUCUUCGCAUUUAAAAAAAAUAUUCAUACCAAAUCCUAAAUAAAUAAAUAAAUAAAAAGGAAAACUUUGUAUAUAACUACAAAUUUAUUUUGAAAGUAUACAUGUAUAAUAUAUAGAUGAUAACAAUAAAAUCACACAAAGCAACUUUUAUAAAUAAUAUGGUCUACAAGUGAUUCAUGAAAUGAAUUUAAAUAUGCUAAUCAACACAUGAUUCAAGAUUUUGGCAUGGUAGGCAAAUCAGGCAAAUUAGGGCGGUCCUUGUUUAGGUGUUUCCGGCUUUAGUAGGUUGGGUAAUUUAGGUAUUUCUGGUUUGGGUAGCUCUUGAAUUUUGGGUUCUUCCGGUUUUGGCAAUUCGGGAACUUUUGGUAAUUCAAGUUUUGGUACCUCAGGAACUUUGGGCAAUUCUGGUUUCGGUACCUCAGGAAUUUUAGGCAAUUCUGGUUUUGUUAACUCGGGAAUUUUUGGUAAUUCAGGAGCUUUGGGCAAUUCUGGCUUAGGCACCUCUGGAACUUUAGGCAAUUCCAACGUCGGUAACUCUGGAACUUUUGGCAACUCGGGAGCCUUGGGUAAUUCAGGCUUGGGCACCUCGGGAACUUUAGGCAACUCUGGCUUUGGCAACUCGGGAAUUUUUGGUGCUUCAAAUUUUGACAAUGUAGGAGCUUUGGGCAUCUCAGGAACUUUAGGUAAUUCUGGCUUUGAUGACUCUGGAACUUUGACUUCUUCAGGUUUUUUCAUCUCGGGAACCUUAGAAAAUUCAGGCAUUGGCAACUCUGACACUUUUGGAAACUCAGGAUCCUUAGGUAAUUCAGGUUUUGGCAACUCUGGCACUUUCGGAAACUCGGGAACCUUAGGCAAUUCAGGUUUUGGCAACUCCGGAACUUUAGGCAACUCAGGCAUUUUAGGUAUUUCGGGUUUUGGAAUUUCUGGCAAUUCAGGACUUGGAAGUUCAACCUUUGGGAAGGACGGCAUAGAUGUCUCCAAAAGACGCCGAGCACCAACCAAGACUGUGUUGCUGCUCAUCAAUGACAAAGUGACGAAUAAAAACGGUAGCACAAAGAAAGGCAAACGACGGGAAGCCAUGAUUAAGAAAAUCAGAUGGGAGAUGACAAGAAGUGCUUCAAAAUGAAUACUUGAAGUGUGCUUGUUUAUGCAAUUGCAAGAGAUGAUGAGCGUUUUAUAGGUAUUGGGAAGUAGAGAUUAUGUGGGUGUUUGGUGAGAAAUUCUACAUUUUGUUAGUUCAACUUCUCACCUAUUCAUUUCUAAAGAUUAUAUCAAAUAUAUUAACUCCCAUCCUAUAUAAUUAGUUGUUAAGUAAAUUUAUUAAGUUGUCAUCACUUUAAUCAAUGGCUUUCAUCUUUAUAUUGAUUUGAAUAAGCAAUUAAUAUACUCAUGUUAUCCUAUAAUUCAUGUUUAUUUUCUUCAAAUAUUGCUGGGGAUUUUAUCUUAAAACAUGCACUACACAAUAUUUUUUGUUAAUAUUGAUUACGAUACGAUUUUUUAAAAUAAUUACAUAUAAUAUUAAUAAUAUAAUAUAAAUAUAAUAAAUAUAUGAACGUAAUAAAAUUUAUAUAAUUUUUAAAUACAAUCAUAUAUAGUAUAAAAAAUAAUAUAAAUAUAAUAAAUAUAUGCCACCCAGGAGGUUUAUUUGCUAGGUUUGUUCAACUAUCUACCACCAACUUGCUCUUGCAGCUAUGAUUAUGUGUUUAUCUUUAUUUUAAAAAAAAAUUAAUAGACGUAGAAGAAAAAUUGAAAUAUUAAAGUUUGGUUACUUACGGUGGACAUGAUAAAUGACUCUAGAAAUUUAGAACAGGGUCGGUAAUAUCAAUAAUAAUUAUCACAAAACAAUAAGAAAUAAAAAUAAGAAUAUGUAGAUUUUACAUAAAAAAUCUUUAUAGGGAAAAAAUUACGGAUAGAAGAGGAAAAAUUUACUAAUGUUGAAAAAUAACAAUACAAGAUAUUUGCAGCUAUGCGCAGUUUUUAAGGGUUAAAUAACUUGUCUAAUUGAAAAAUAUAAUUCUAUACGGAUUCCUCAAUUUUGCCUCUCUAUUUUGUUUUUUUAACAAGUGAAUUGCACUUCGAACUUUUCAGAUUAAAUCAAAUGAAAUACUGAAGAUAAAUAAAUGAAUUUUUUUACUAAGUUAAACCAAAAAUUAGUAUCCCUUAUAAUUUUUGGAUCCCCUCAUAUUUUUUUUGGCACUCCCUCUGUUUUUUUUUUUUUAUAUUCCCUCAAUAUUUUUUGUAUUUCCUCAUAGUUUUUAGUACUUAUUCAUAAUUUUUAUUAUUCGCUUAUAAUUUUUGAUACUUUCUUAAUUUUUUUUAUUUUCUCAUAAUUUUUAGUAUUUUCUUAUAUUUUCCGGUAGUCCUUUAUAACUGUAAUUUUAGAGUAAAAAAAUUAUGACAGAAUGCUAAAAAUUAUAAAGGAAUACCAAAAAAAUAUAAGUGGGUAACAACAAAGGCAUGUGCCAAAAAAAUAAGUACCAAUAAUUAUGAGAUAAAAUAUUAGUUCGUCUUAUAAAAUUUAUUUCAUUUAUUUAGUUUUUCAAAAAUUUUAAAUUUAUUAGUAUAUAUAACAACUUUUAUAAGUAUACAAAAAAUAUAUAUAUCAAAAAUUGAUUUUUCAUGUCAAAAUUUAAUUUUGAAAGUAUAUAAAAAAUUGUGAGAGAUUACCAAUAAUUAUGGAGUACUAAAUAUUAUAAGAAAGUAUAAAAAAUUACUAGAAAAUUUAAAGAAAAAAAAAAUGGGAGCUCAUAGGAAGCUCACCUAGAAUUCCCCAUCAACAUGAGACAACCUUAACCCCUCAAACACUUCUAACCCUAGGAUCAAGAAAGAAGCAUGUCAUAUGACCUUGCUUGUCAUGUCAUGUCUUCUUAGACUAAAAGUGAGUUGCGAAUACCAGUAUGCAGUAUGCUCAACUUUGGUUAAAGCUUUCUCCAUUUAUUCAGAGGGUAAUAUCUUCAUACGAUUGUCCCGACAUGCACCGAGGGACAAAAGUCGAAACAACAUACAUUAGAACAUUUAAAAUGUGCAACUGACCUAGAUUUAAUGAUUAGAAUAACUUGUUGGGCUGUUCAACAUUUAACCAAAAAGUUAGAUUCUCUCUCCAUGAAUGUUGCAAUAAAAAUAUGAUGCAUGUAAUAAGUCAAGGAAAUUAAACACACAACAAUUCAAUCCCAAAAAAAAAAUAGCUGCACAUGGGUGAACAGGGGAAUGUUGAUUCUUUCAAACACCUUUUAAAUAUAUUUUUAUAUCUGACAUUUACACUCGAAUCUGAAUAAUGCCAUACUAAUUACCAAUUAUUAAUAUAGCAAGUCCUUAAAUGAGGGCAUAGAGUUCGUCAUACAAUAUUGCCAUGGGCUAAAAUUAUUAACAUACUAGCAAGUCUGCAUUUCGCUACAACUAGAAGAUAAAACUGCAUACUUAAAUAGAGUCGUACAAUUUCGAUUGUAAUUCAUUUGUUUCAAGUUAAGUACUUAUAAUGAUUAAAUUAUUUAUUCAAUUUAUUCAAGUUAAGUACUUAUAAUCUUAUGUGAGCUUGUUUUUGAUUGAUUCAAGCGCUAUAUUUACUAACAUCAUUACAUGCUUUGAAACAUUCAAGGGCAUUAUGUCUGAUAAUAUUACCACGGCUAAAGAAUUUAGGAUCGACAUUGAAAAGAGAUUUGUCAAGACCGAAAAGAUAGAAAUUGAUACAUUCUUAGCAAAUCUAACUUCAAUGAGGUAUAUAAGAAAAUAAGAAAGUUGCAUAUACUACAUUACAAAAGAAACAACAAAAGGAGUUAACUAAUGGCUAGUUUGGCAAUGCUUUUGAGAAGUGCUUUUGAGAAGUGCUUUUGAAAUUUGAGUGUUUAGUAUUAUUGUCAAAAAGUACUUUUAAGAAAUAAAAUGUCUAUUUUAAACAUGAUAUUAUAAAGUAACAAAUAUGCAUUUAAAUAAUAUUCAAAUUAGUUAAUAUUAUGAUAUUUUAGCAAGAAUAUAAAAAUAAUUUAUUAUAACUUAUUGUUAAUAUUUUAAUAUAUAAUAUUAAUUUUAAAUAUUUUCAAGUAAUUAAUAUUAAUUAUUUAUUAAAUUUAAUUAGACAUGGUAUUCUAACAUUGUUGGGAGAAGACAAAAGUAAGGUUAAAAAAUGUAAAUAUCAGCCAAAAGCACUUUUGGAUGAGAAAAAGUUAAAAUUUUUAACUUUUUCAUCUGUCAAAAGGUACUUAUUUUAAGUUAAAAAUUUUUCUUAAAUGAUGUUUGUUUGGUAAUGAUUUUAAGGGAAAAGUGCAUUUUAUUGUAAAAGCUCAUCUGAGAAGCUAAGCAGAACCGGCCCUAAAGAUGGUUGUUUCUCUUGUGGUGUGGCAAUGCACUUCUUAAUUUUCUUUGUUUGAGGUUAAUUUGAUUUACCUAGACGCAUUUAGUGGAUAAAUUCUGGUGCAACAACUCACAUUAGUGUAUUUAUGCAAGGCUGUCAGAACUAUUGAAAGUCUAAUAAUGGUAGAAGAUACAACUAUGUAGGCUACAAUAAUUCCGUAAUAAUUCGGUAGAAGUUGAAGCAAUAAAAACUUUUAGGUUAUUAUUAAUAAUUAGAUUUUAUUUGGAUGCAAAAUAGUAAUAUAUAUUAUUUUAUAUAAAUAAUAUUUAUUAUAUGAAUGAGAAACACUUAUAUUAUAAAAAUGUAUCAAGUUCUUUAACUAUUCACAUAAUUCUUAAGAGUUACUUUAUUGUGAAGAAAUUAAUGGGAGAAUUUAAAGUUAUUUAUGUUAUAAUAAUAUAUUGUUACUUAAUAUUUAUAUAUUAGUAUAUUAUAUCAUAUAUAUUAUAUAUUACAAGGUUGUGGUUAAUUAAGGAAAUAAAUAUAAUGUUCACAAUUUUUUUUUAAAGAUAUAUGUUAGGUCUAAAAAUAUCAAGAAGGGAAUAAAUUGGUAUUUUAAAUUUUUUUUCAAACUUUUCUAAAUGAUAAGGAAAUCGAAGAAAAAUUUGGAUAAUUCAAUUUAUAGUUGUUCGGCCCCGAUUGUCUAUUUCCACUACCUUGAUAUACCUUAACAAAGGAUUUCCCAAUUCACUAUACUUAAAUAUUUUUCUCUUGAUCUUGAUGCUUGAAUAUCACUCUCUUGAGUCUUGUAGUGUUCUUGAAGUAUAUUUAUACUAAGAAACAAAUUUUUCAAUGUUUAUGGCUACUGGGGACGAAAUCUAGUCAUUUGAAGUGUUAAUUUUGGGCUUAAAAACUAUCUCUACACAUGAUGUCUCGAGACCUAGCAAGAUGUCUUGAAACAAGGUUGAAAAAUAGUCAUUAUAUAACUGUUGGCAGGCCAUGUCGCGAGACAAUAUGCUAAUUGUCUCUAGACAUACUACACAAUGUUUCAAGAUAGACAACUCCUGAAGCAGAUUUUUGCUUCGAAAUUUUCAUGUCUUUAGACGUAUAAUCACAUGUCUCGGGACUUGCUUGCUAAAAUCCCUUAAAAACAUUUUAAACACCUUAGAAUACUUUGGUAUUAAUCCAAAAACAUUUAGAUAAAUUAAAACACAUUUAAAAUAUGUUUUUGAGUAUUUUGCUAGUCUUUAAAAAUACAUUAAAAAUGUUUGAUACAAUUUUCAAUCAUAUUUUCACUAAAUGAUUUAGCACAUUUAAUAUAUAUAUAUAAUUUGUCUUAAAUGUUAUUAUAUUAAAAGCUUGCGACAUCAAAGCUAAUAAUAUAGUAGUCUCCAUCUCAAGCACUUAUAUUAUCAAUCUCAAAUUGACUAUAAAACACUUUCAUAUCGCAUCCUUACACUAUAAGUUUCUUCACCAUUUACAUAAUUUAUUUAAAAAAUUUUCAUUCAAAGAAAUUCAUAAGUGAAGCCUAUAAUUUAAUUUUAUUCAUAUAUUAUUUAUAUAUUUUAUUUUGUAUUUAUAUUAUAUCAUAAAAACAUUAGUUUAAGCCCACUUAACUGACUCAUAUAUGGUCUUCUUGGUCUCUCCGGAGACAUUCAUGUCGAUAAGUCAAGACAGAUAUUUCCAUGAUUACACCUUGCUGGCUUUUCGACCUCAUUGGUGCUCCUCUUCAGUUUUUCGACGUCCCUCUAAUGACGGCGACUAAUGAAAGUAGCUAGGGUUUGGUUAUUUCUGAUAUUUGUUUCUAGGGUUUAUGUUUGUUGAAGUUGAGCUAUGGUCCAUUUCAAGCCUUUCGACUUCUUUUUUUUUUUUAGGGAGGGUGUUACUGUAGGCCUUUUUUAUGUUUGUAUUUGUCCUUUUCUUUAAUGAAAUCUUUGUAUUGAACAAGAAAAAGAGCAUGCCAAAUCCCAAGUAAAAAAAAUUAAACUUUGUGAAUAACUAUAAAUUUAUUUAGAAAGUAUACAUGUAUAAUAUAUAGAUGAUAACAAUAAAAUCACUCAAAACAAACAUAUAUAUAUAAUCUGGUCUACAAGUGAUCCAUGAAAUGGAUUUAAAUAUGCUAAUCAACACACUCUUAUAAGAAAAAUAUCUAAAAAUCAUAUGUUUAUUGUUGAGGGAAAACAAACAUAGUACCAUGAUUCAAGGUUUUGGCACGAUAGGCAAAUCAGGCAACUUAAGGCAGUUCUUGUUUAGGUGUUUCCGGCUUUGGUAGAUUGGGUAACUUAGGUAGUUCUGGUUUGGGUAGCUCUGGAACUUUAGGUUCUUCGGGUUUUGGCAUGCUAGGCAAUUCAGGAACUUUAGGUAAUUCAGGUUUUGGCAACUCAGGAGUUUUGGGCAAUUCUGGUUUCGGUACCUCUGGAACUUUAGGCAAUUCUGGUUUUGUUAACUCGGGAAUUUUAGGUAAUUGAGGUUUUGGUAAUUUAGGAGCUUUUGGAAAUUCUGGCUUAGGCACCUCAGGAACUUUUGGUAAUUCAGGUUUUGGCAGCUCAGUCGCUUUGGGCAAUUCUGGUUUUGGUACCUCAGGAAUUUUUGGCAAUUCAGGAGCUUUGGGCAAUUUCUGCUUAGGCACCUCAGGAACUUUAGGCAAUUCUGGCUUUGGUAACUCAGGAACUUUUGGUGAUUCAAGCUUUGGCAACUCGGGAGCUUUGGGUAAUUCAGGCUUGGGCACUUCAGGAGCUUUGGGCAAUUCCGGCUUAGGCACCUCAGGAACUUUAGGCAAUUCUGGCUUAGGCACCUCAGGAACUUUAGGCAAUUCUGGCUUUGGUAACUCAGGAACUUUUGGUAAUUCAGGUUUUGGCAACUCAGGAGCUUUGGGUAAUUCAGGCUUGGGCACUUCAGGAACUUUAGGAAAUUCUGGCUUUGGUAACUCCGGAACUUUUGGUGCUUCAGAUUUUGACAAUUUAGGAGCAUUGGGCAUCUCUGGAACUUUGACUUCUUUAGGUUUUUUCAACUCGGGAAUCUUAGGAAAUUCAGGCUUUGGCAACUCUGGAACUUUCGGAAACUCAGGAACCUUGGGUAAUUCUGGUUUUGGCAAUUCUGGAACUUUCAGAAACUUGGGAACCUCAGGCAAUUCGGGCUUUGGCAACUCCGGAACUUUAGGCAAUUCAGGUUUUGGCAACUCAGGCAUUUUAGGUAUUUCAGGUUUCGGGAUUUCCGGCAAUUCAGGCUUUGGAAGUUCAGCCUUUGGGAAGGACGGCAUCUCAGGCAACUCGGGUUUAGGAAUCUCCGGCACAGAUGUCUCCAAAAGAUGCCGAGCACCAACCAAGACUAUGUUGCUACUCAUCGAUGACAAAGUGAUUAAUAAAAAGGGUAACACAAAGAAAGGGAAACGAUGAUAAGCCAUGAUUAAGAAAAUCAGAUGGGAAAUGACAAGAAGUGCUUCAAAAUGAAUACUUGAAGGGUGCUUGUUUAUGCAAUUGCAUGAAAUGACGAGGCUUUUAUAGGUAACAGGAAGUGGAGAACAAGGAGGUCCUGUAGAUGUUUGGUGAGAAAUUCUAGAUUUUGUUAGCUCAACUUCUCACCUGUUCUUUACUGAAAAACUAUAUCAAACUAUGACACAUACAUUUGACCACCAUUAUGAAGUUGGCAUCACCCUAAUCAAGCCUUUGGUCUUUAUAUUGGAUUGAAUAAACAAUUAAUGUACUCAUAUUAUCAUACUAAAUUAACAAUUGUUUAACACCUUAACUCUGCUUUAUUUUCUUCAAACAUAAGCUGGGAUUUUUUUUUUAAUUUUGAUUACGACACGGUUAUAUAAAAUAAUUAGAUAUAAUAUUAGAAAAUAAUAACAAUAUAUGAACGAAAUAAAAUUCAUAUAAAAGAUUAAUUUAAAAAUUUAUUUGCUACGUUUGGUUUGUUCAACUAUAUAAUACCAACUUUUUUUUGCAACGAUAAUUUAUGUUUUUUGUUUCUUUGUUAUUUAAAAAUAAAUUAAUGAAAGACGUAGAAGAAAAUUAAAAUAUUAAAAUUUGAUUACAUAUAGUUAGAGGUGAUUAUGUGUUGGUUCCGCUCCAACUUCAAUAGAAGUUUAGGCCCAUUUUUUAGGCCCAGGUAUGGUUCUGUCUGAAAAAUGGGCUUAAAUUUUUACCCAAGUCUGGCCCGGAUAAAAAUACUAAAACUGGAGCCCGUCCGUAUUAAAUUUUUUUAUAUAAUUAUUUUAAUAUAAAAAUAAAUUUAAAAAUAUAAUACAUUAAAUACACUUAAAACAUUAAAAUAAAUGUUUUCCAAUAAAUUGAAAAUAAAUUAAAAAUUUUAUUUGUAUUUAAAUAACACUAAGAUAGAUUCAACUUAGCAACCAAAUACCUCUAAAAUAGUAGCAAAAUUAAUAAUAAAAUAAGAGUUAUACAACAUCCAAAUAAGAUCAAUAAAAUAGUAGCAAUAUAAUAACGAAAUGACACCAAAACAAUGACAAAACAACAGCAAAACCAAUGGAAAUAGCAGAAAAAGCAGCAGAUUUUUUUUUAAACAAAUUCGAGUUGAGCUUAGGCCAAAAAAAAGCUUACCUAAAAGCCGGCCUGUUUAUUGAUAAAUUUAUAGAAUUACAGUACUGAAAAAAAAAAGAAAAAAGAAAAGAAAAGCAAUAUAUAUGGUUUGUGGAAUGAUUAUAUUACGCAUGAAUUGGAUGUUAUUGAAUCCAUAAAAAAAUAUGUUUUGUGUGCUUUUAUGCUAAGAUUAUUGAUAAAUUUUAAUGGAUUGAAUUAUGAUUUUUUUGUUAAAUUGGUUUGAUAGACAUUUAUUGAAGGUAUUAUCUUUUUUAUAUGAAUAUAUAUUUAAUUUUUGGGUUUUUUGAUAAUAAGUGUGUAACACCCCUUACCCGUAUUCAUUGCCGGAAUAGGAUACGAGGCAUUACCGGAGUUUACUGAACAUUUUCAGAUAAUUUUGAGUCAUUUAUUAUUCAUAUUUUGAAAUAAUCAUAACAUCUCUCUAUUGGGCCCUCGAAGCCCAAAACAUACAUUAAAAACCAACUGGAAUAAAAUCGAGAUCAUAAAAAAUUUCGCAAAAUCUUAAAUUAUAUUUUCAUCUAAGUACUUACCAUUUCAAUGCUCCUUAUAAUUAAACAUGUUACCAUUCAAUCAAUAGCUUGGCACUUGUCUAAGCGUCAAACAACAACAUUGUUAGUAUACUUGCACAUAUUUCAUAUAAAUUCAACAUUGAUAUACCUAUUUUCUCAACAUAUCACACUUGAGUUUAAUAAUAGUCUCAACUUACAUAAUUUCCUUGUAUCAACAUAUCAAAGAUAAUUAUAUAUGUACAUGUCACAAAACAUAUUAUUAUCUUACUGUUUCUUCAUAAGCAUAUAUCAUUCAUUUCGUUAUAUCAAUAUUUCAUGCACCAUCAUUUCCUUAUAUCUUGUAUAUAUUUAUUUCGGUAAUAGUUCGUAUUAAACUUAACAUAAAUUAAAUUCCAUGUACCUAUACUUAUUUCAUUUAUCUAUCUUUUUAAUUAUUUCAUACAACUAUUUUGUACAUAUAUUUCCAUAUGACCAAUUCCUGUAAACAUUUCACACAACCAUUUCAUAUAACCAUUCCAUCUGAUACAUAUUACCUGAAUAUUGAUUGUUCAAUAGAUAUCUUGGUGUUUCUCUUCCUCGAUCUUAUUUAUUUUCGACAUGAUGUCAUAGUAUCUUUCAACUAUGGUUUUACUCGUUUUCUGUCAUGUUGCCAUGGUAUCUUUCAACCAUUGUCUUAUUCAUUUUCCCGUCAUGUUGCCAUGGUAUCUUUCAACCAUGGUCUUACACAUUCCAUAUCAGAGAGCACACUCCCGCGAACCUCAUCCUUACAAUGGGAUUACCAGUCCAGGCUAAAUCCCCUGUAAUAUAAACUCAUAGAGUAUUGUCGGGAUUACUAGUCCAGGCUAAAUCCCCUGCAACGACAAUUACUCUAAUGAGCUUGGAUCUGAAUUACCAGUCCAGGCUAAAUUCAGACCCUAAUUCGGAUUACCCGUCCGGGCUAAAUCCAUUUUCCACAUAUUCUUCGGGAGGGCUAUAUCAGGAUAGGAUCACCCGUCCGGGCUAGAUCAUUUUUACCGUCAAUUCCUUUUCAGAGAUCCAUCUAAUUUUCCUUCCAUUCAACCAAGAUUUUUUCCCCUUUUUUUUUCAAAUAUAUCAAUGUUUCAUAAAUUUCCAUAUAAUGAACAUUCAAAUCAUAUUCAUAUAAAAAAAACAUGCAUUUCAAGCAUUUAAGAAUAUAAUUCAAGUUACACGAACUUACUUGGCGAAAUUGCAGAAAUAUAAAGAUUAAGGGGCAUUUUGGUAAUUUACCAUUUUCCCAAUUUUCACCCGAUCUUAAAUUGAAAAUUUCAUUCAAUUUAUUAAUUUAGAUAAUAAAAAAUUCAUUCCCUUCAAUUGGGUCAUUUUUGACAUUUUUACAAAAUUACCCCCUGAAGUUUUACUUUUAUUCAAUUCAGUCAUUAAGCCUAAAACAUGCAAAUUAGCCAUGCUAGCUGGAUAUUCAUAUAUAUUUUCCUCCUCCUCUUCUCCAUUCCACAUCCUUAAUGUAUAUAACACACUUGUAAGUAACAUUAUCUAUAAUCUUUAUUAUUUACUUUUAUGAAUAUUCAAGUUGUCCAUCUGUAUCAUAGUCACUAAAUUAUUUAUAUCUGGAGCUAUAUAACUCCAAAUGAGGAUCCGAUAAUUUUCCCUGAAACUAGACUCAUAUAUCUUCUUACCAUAAAAUUUUCAGAAUUUUUGGUUUAUCCAAUAAGUACAGUUUAUUCUUUAAAGUUACCCCUAUUCUGCUGUCUAACAGUUCCGACUCUUCUUCACUAAAAAUUAAUUAUAUCCUCGUACAAGAUUCAAAUGAUGUUGUCGUUUGUUUCUAUGGAAAAUAGGAUCAUUAAGGAUUCUAAACAUAUAAAUUUAAACCCAUAAUUAUUUUUAUCCAAUUUUUUAUGAUUUUCCAAAGUCAAAACAGGGGAACCCGAAAUCAUUCUGACCUUGUCUCAUAAAAUUUAUUAUAUCUCAUGAUUCACAAUUCCAUUGCUUAUAUCGUUUCUUUUAUAAGAAACUAGACUCAAUAAGCUUUAAUUUCAUAUUUUAUUCAUCCUAUAAUUUGAUUUAUAAAAUUUUUGGUGAUUUUUCAAAGUUACACUACUGCUGCAGUCCAAAACAGUUUUAGUGAAAAAUGUUGAUUUCCAUUUUGCCCCAAAUUUCACAGUUUAUACAAUUCAGUCCUUACUCAAUUAACCCCUCAAUUGAGCUAAUUUUUCUCAAUUAAUACUUUAUUCUAUCAUUUUAAACUUCUUCAUAACCCCUAAAAAUCAGAACUUUAGCAUUAGACAUUAAUUCCAAACUCUUUCUUAAUUAUGUCCUAAAAUGAAUUUCCAUCAAUUUUACUUGAUAAAAUCAUUAUAUACCAAAAUUAAAGCUUCAAUUCUAUGAUUAUUCAUCAUAUUAUUUCAGCACUCAUCCAUAAAAACUUUAAAAAUUAGCCAUGGAAUCAAAAACUAAUGAAAUAGUAAGUUGGACCCAAUUGUAAAAUUCCAAAAUAUAGAAAUUUCAAGGAGAAAGCAAGAAUUAAACUUACAUGAAGCUAGAGCAUGAAAACCAUCUUGAACCCCCUUCCAUGUCUGUUUUUCAGCUGAUGAAUAUGAAGAGAAAUGAAGAGAAUUCUAGAUAUUCCAAUUUAGUCCCAUUUUUAUUUAGCUAAUUUUGGCAAUUUUCCAAUUUUGCCCUUAUUUCACCCAUUUCCUGAUUUUUCUCAGCUACUGCCGCCCAGAAUAUCUCCUUUGGGCUUAUUUUCAAUUUAGGUCCUUCCUCAUUUGACAAUUGAGCUAUUUAAUCCUUUUAGCAACUUUUACACAUUUUUCAAUUUAAUCCUUUUUAUUUAGUUGACCACCCAAACGUCAAAAUUUUCUAACGAAAUUUUAAUACUACCUUAUUGACAUUCCUUAAAUAUUUAUAAAAAUAUUUAUGGCUCGGUUUAUAACAUCGAGAUCUCGAUACCUCUUUUUCUCAAUUUCUUGACCAAAUAAAUCUUUAUAAAACACAAUUUACUAUUCCAAAAAUCUUUUAAAAACUAUAUUUGGCUCGUAAAUAUUAAAUAAUAUAAUCUAUGAGUUCAUUUGUCAGAUUUGAUGGUCUCGAACCACUAUUUUCGGCAUCGUUGAAAUUCAGGCUAUUACAAAGUGUUUAAAAAUUUUGAUUUUAAGUUUGGUUUUAUAAAAUUUUGUUUUGAAUUUUAAUUGUAAAAAUCGUGAUGGUUGUUUGUUUAAGUAUUUAGAAAAAUAAUCAAAGAUUAAGGUUCGGUUUCUGAUUGCAUCAUUUAUAUAACCUUAUUUUGAGUUAUUUUGGAAAUUAUAGUGUGAUAAGAAAUUUCAAUUUUGACAUUUGAUUGUUAUAGAAAUUUUUAAAUUUAAAUAUUGGUAUGUUUUAUAUAUAUAUAUAUUAAAAUAACUUAAUUGAAGGAAUAAGUCGCCAAAGUGACCUUUGUUGCAGAAAUUAUUUUGUUUCGAAAUAUAAAAAGGUUAUGCACAUAUAACUUAAGUUAUGUUAAUAUUGAUCAAUCUAAAAGAAAGUUAAUAUUUAACAAACAUGUGCAACUGGGGUAAUAAAUAGAGGUGUGCAUGGGCCGAGCCGGGUUCGGGCCGGGCCCAUAAAAAUUUUAGCCCGUUUUUAAGGCCCGGGCCCGGCCCGGGCCAAAAUAUGGGCCUAGAAAUUUGUCCAAGCCCGGCCCGAGGAAAAAAAUGGUAGGCCCGAGCCCGGCCCGGCCAUAUUAAAUUUUUUUUUCUUUUUUUAUUAAAUAAAAAACUUUAAAAUAUAAUAAAUCAAAUACAUUUAAAACAUAAAAACAAAUAUUAAAACAAAAAACAAAUAAAAAAUAAAAAAUAAGACUAAAAUAAUUCUUAAAAUAAUACAUAAAUUAAAAAUAAAAUAAAAAGUAAUUAUAUUAAAAUUGAAAAAUUGAAACAAAUUAAAAUUAAAUUAAGAACUAAAUUAUAUUAAUAACAAAAGUUUUACAAUAUUAAAAUAAUAUUAAAAACAACAAAAAGAGUAAAGUAAAAUACUAAAGUUACUUAAAAUUAAAAAUAAUUUUUUUUAAAAUAAUUUAAUAUUAAAAUCGGGCCAGGCCGGGCCGGGCCCGGGCCAAAAAAAUCUUACCCGAGGCCCAGCCCAUUUUCUAAAUGGGCCUCGUUUUUGUCCAAGCCCAUUUUUCGAGCCUAUAUUUUUACCCAAACCCUCUCAUUUUUCGAGUGGGCCGCCCGGCCCAUGCACACCUCUAGUAAUAAACAUGUGACAAUUAUUUGAUUUUACAUGUGAGUGAUAAAUCGACCCAAAGAAAGAUUUAUUGUUCGACAUGUUCUUAUUGACAAUUUUUAAUUACUACAACAAGAUAUCACUUACAAGUUAAUAUUUUGUCCAAAGAUGAAAUAUUAAUAGAGUGGUUGGUAUCUUAAUAUGAGAUUUACCUUUAUUCAAAUUAUUUUUGUUUAAAUUUGAAAUCUUAUGUGAACUUGUUUUGAUUGAUUCAACUACUAUACUAGCCAACAUCACUACAUGCAUUGAAACAUUUAGGGGCAUUAUGUCUGAUAAUAUUACCAUGGCCAAGGAAUUUAGGAUCAACAUUGAAAAGAGAUUUGUCAAGAACGAAAAUGUAGAAAUUGAUACGUUCUUAACAAAUCUGACUUUAAUGAGGUAUAUAAGAAACUAAGAAAGUUGCAUAUACUACAUUACAAAAGAAACAACAAGAGGGGUUAACUAAUUAUGGUUGUUUCUAUUUUGGUGCGAAAGUGCACUUCUUAAUUUUCUUUGUUUGAGGUUAAUUUGAUUUUGAUACCUAAAUGCACUUGGUGAAUAAAUUCUUGUGCAACAACUUGCAUUAGUGUGUUUAUGCAAGGCUGUCAAAACUAUUGAAAGCCUAAUGAUGGUAAAAGAUACAUCUACGUAGGCUACAAUAAUUCGGUAAAAGUUAAAACAAUAAGGACUUUUAGAUUAUUAUUAAUAAUUGGAUUUUAUUUGAAAUUGAACGAUACUUUCGUUAUACCAUCCUUUAGGCGGAACUUGAUUUCCAUAUCAACAUUGGAUAAAUUUAGUUAUUCUUGUUCAUAUAGAAAUUGAAAUUUUAGCCUCUUUCAUAAUUUAAAUUUGGUUGGUUCCAGUUCUUUAUUAGGUUAUGAAAAUUUAUAUGUAGUAGCCAAUUUUGGCCCAGACCAACAAACAAACAAAAACAAAAAACAAACUAACUAAAAUAAAAGUCCAUUUUUUUAGUCCAUUUACAAUAUAUGUGUGGCCCAAUAAUUUAAAACCCAUUUCAGACCCAAAAUGCAAACCAAACCAGCCCAAAUCCUAGCCCAUUAGCUAUCAAAAUUUUCAGCAAGCAAACCCUAGCCCCUUCUUCAGCCGCCGCUCCUCACCAUUGGCCACCUCGUGCAGCACCACGCCCCUGACCAUCGCCUCUUCCACGCAUCGCAACACCUGCAACCAAAUCAAAAACAGUAGCAAAGAAAGCACGCAAGAAACAGAGAAAUAAAUAGCAAAAAACAAAAAAAAAACAGAAACAAAAGGAUUUUGAUUUCAGCUAUAAGAGCCAUUGGGAUCUCUCUGUAAUUUUUUUACGCGCACAAGUAAUUCAAAAAAAAGAAACAGAAGUUAAACAAGGUUGAUUUGAUUUUCUUUUUUUCUUUUUUUUCUUUUGCCUUUCAAUUUCUUGUUUAUUUUUCUUAUUUUUUAUUUGUAAAUCUAUUUUAAAAAUUAAAUAUUAAAAAGAAAAGUAGAAACUUACCUGGACUGCCCCGGAGUCGCGCCAUCGGAGCCUCAUCUCCGUCGAUGGAGUCAAUUCCAAAAAUGGGGUAAAAGGAUCUCCUUCUCUCUCAUUUUUGGGCUAAAAAGAACGUGGCCCUUGAAUGGCUUUGAAAUGGGGUUGAAGAACCCGUCCUAUGCGGCUCUAGCCACCGCCCACGGUGGAGUCAAGACGACGGAGGCGAGGAUGGGUUUCAAAACCCUAGUCGCAAGUGAGAAAGGAAGAGGGAGAGAAAGCAAAGAUGUGACAGCCCUAAUUUGACUCUAGUCGAGAAGUGGUUUCGGGACCAUAAAAUCGAGUCACAAGAAUAAUUAAAUGUUAUAUUUUAUGCCUAUUAUAAGUGAAAGUGUAUGUGUGAAAAUUUCAUGCUUUGAUUUUGUCUUUUAAAUGUGAAAUUAAUUAGAAAGGACUUAUGUGUGAAACUUUGGAAAUGUGAUAGGUUAAAUGGUAGUGGGCAAACAAUGCAUGGUGGAAAAAAAUGUAGACUUGCAUGUCAAAUUCCCCACUUUAGAGGAAGUGGCCGGCCAUGAUGGUAUGGGAUACAAAAUAUAUGCAUUUUGUAUUAAUAUUAUAAUGACUACAUGGUUUUAUAAUAGGAAAUAAGUAUUAAAAAAAAAGAAGGCCAUACAUCCUUGCCUUGUUCAUGCGAAUGUUUGAGAAAGAAUGGAAAAAAAUGCUUUGAGGAUUUCGGCAAUGGAGCAAGCUCAAAAUCUAAGGUAGAACAAAAGGGCUCUUUGAUAUUUGGCCUUGGUGAUUCUAAUUGGAGGUAUGUUUAAUUUUAUUUCUUGAUAAUUUAUGUGAAAUUGAGUUAAUUGCUAAGCUCCUUUCAUAGCCCAUGACUCAAUUUUUGUUAUUGGUUUGAAGUGAUGCAUUCGGCUAUGGGUUGUAGAGUGUCUUGGUUGGUGUUUUGAUGUUUUUGUGAUGAGGCAUGAAGAUGGUUGAUUUUAAGUGUUUAAUAAAAAGGAUUGGAUAUGAGUGUGUGUGAAAUAGCAAAUGAUGAGUCUCGGUAACUUCAUGAAGAGUUCGGCUAUUGUGUUUAUGUGAAUAUAUAUAUGCUGAAUGUAGUCUUGGAUAAGUAAAUUUUGAUGUAUUAGAUUGGUAACAUGGUUAUGCCGAUUGUGAAAAUGUGAUAAAGGUGCCAAGAAAUAUUUGUAAACAUGCAUAGUACCGAAUGUGUUCAUGAAUGAAUAAGUUAUGUGGGUUGUUUAAAUGAAAGAAAUGGAUAAGUUAAGGUAUAAUUGAGUGUUCGAAUAUGAAUUUAAGAAGAAUGAUACAUUCGACUAUGCUUUGAUGUGCUUGGAUUGUUGUUCAUUGAGUAAGUGAUUGAGGAAUGGUUAGAAGAAUUUGAAUGCUAAACUAGUUGAUUUGUUUAUAAUGUCCGAUUAUGAUCAUUUAUAGAGAUGUGAAUGAAUUGUUGUUAUGUGAAUAAAUAUUUGUUUGAUGAUAUAUAUAUGUAUUCGGAAAUGGGAUAAAAUGUGUAUUAAGGUAAGUUUCAUGGUGAUUAUGCUUGUGAUGUUGGGUUAAUAUUCGGCAUUGAGUAAUGUGGGGUAAGGUGAUUAAUCGGCUAUGAAAUUAGCUAAAUUGAAUAGGUAUGUUUAAUGAUAUGCUUAGUGUAAUGUAUAAUCUUAUAACUCGGUUUGGUAUUGAGAUAAAGAUUAGAUGUAUGAUUGGAUUUUGGUAUGUGUUAAAUUGGUUAAUCAAAGAUUUAAUAUGACGAAAUGUUAAUGAAUAACAUAAUUGGUUUGCACCUUAAAUAGUUGAAUUAAAGCUUGCCGAUUAUGAUUUAAUGUUUAAAUUGUAAUGGUCAUAUAUAGGUAUAUAUAUAUGCCUUAUGUAUGUACCAUGUACACAUAAGGACAUUCGGCAAUAUGAUUAAAUUCAUGUAUAAGGAAGCAUGAUAAAUUAAGUGACUCUUUGUUUGUGAAUGUGAAUUAGAUAUAAAUUAAAUAAGCAUGAAAUCGAGUCAUGGCAUGUUUUAUUAAAUAUGAUACAUAUUGAAAUCUAUUGUUUUAGAUAUAGAUUAAAUGAUAUGUGAUUGCCAAAUGUGAUUGUUAAGUGAAUAAUAUUAGUUAAGUACUUAAGCAAAUCUAUUGUUUUACUUAAGCUUAAGAGCAAAGAGGAUCAAAGUCGGAUAGGGGAAAAGAGAAAGUAAACGAAUAGCCGUGGAUAUCUAGUCGUCGACCACUUCCGAGGUAAGUUUUAAGUGAUUAAACGUUGAGUAAAUUCAAUCAUAAUAGGACAUAAUGAGUUGAUUUAAUAAGAUAUGAUGUGGCCAUGAUAUGUCUUAAACUCAAAUGGUAAGUUCAUAAGUGUUUGGACUUGGAAAUUUAAGAGCAAAUCGUAAUAAUUUGCUUAGGACAGCAGCAGUAACGUGAUUUUAGAAAAUAACUAUAAAUUGUUGGUGUGGAAUUAUAGGCUGAAUAAAAUAUGUAAUCAAAGCUUAAUUAGUCUAGUUUCUUAUAAAAGAGACCGUGUAAGCAAAUAAAUUUCCUAUAAAGAGAUAUUUAAAGUUGUGUGAGACAGUGUCAGAAUGACUCAGAAAUCCCCUGUUCUGUUUUUAUAAAAUCAUUAUAAUUUGUACAAAAAUGGUUAUAAGAUAAAAUUUAUAUGCUUAGACUCCUUAAUGAGUCUAGUUUCAAAUGAAAUCAAUUAGAACAUAUUUUGAAUUCUGUACAAUGAUAAAUUUGAUUCAUAGUGAAGAGUGGUCAGAUUAGUCAAACAGUGAAACAGAGGAAACUUUAAGAAAAAUCUGGUAUUGAUUGGCCAAACCUAAAAUUCUGAAAAUUUUAUGGAUGAAAGAUAUAUGAGUAUAUAUUCAGGGAAAAUUAACGUCAAUUGAUUUGGAGUUUUUUAGCUCCAGUUAUAAAUAAUUUAGUGACUAUUGCUCAGGAAAACAGCUUGUAGUGAAUAUGUGAUUUUGUUGUAAACAUUGAUGAAACUAUUUGAGUUGCUUAUAAGUCAUUGCUGAAAUUGAUGUACAAGAUAAAUAUGUAUAUGUGGUAAAGCCGAAUGGCUAACAUGAAAUAUGUAUGAGAUAUAUAUAUGUGGUAAAUCCGAAUGGCUAAUGUGAAGUAUGUAUGAGAUAUGUAUAUUUGGUAAAGCCGAAUGGCUAAUGUGAAAUAUGUAGGAGAUGUGUGUAUAUUGUGGCCGAAUGACCAAAUGUGAAAGGUGUGUAUUAUUAGAUAUUUGAUGAGGCAAAUGAAUUACAAAUAUGACAGUCGAUGUGAAUGUUGUAACAUGUGAUUAAAUGUACAUGAAACUUGGAAAUAUAUUCCGGGUAAGACCCGAUGACUACGUGUGGAGAUUAUGUCCGGGUAAGACCCGAUGACUACGUGUGGAGAUUUUGUCCGGGUAAGACCCGAUAACUACGUGUGGGGAUUAUUCGAGCUAAAGGUCUCGCUGAAGAUCCGAGUAAAGCAUAAAAUUAUACGACUUCACAGUAACAAUUGGUAAUAAAUACGUUCAAUGCGUUAAGUUGGUCAGGUAUGUAUUUUGAGAUUAUAUUUAAGCUUGAUUUGGAUUAAAUCACAAGGUUGUUAUGUGAUGCAUAUGUGAGUAAAGCAAUAAGACUGUUCUAUGAUUAUUGUGAAUUUGGUCAAUGUGAAAAGUUAGGUGAAAAUAUGUGAUGUACCUAUGUUUAUAAGAGAUCACUAUCAAGUGAGAAUUUAUCUGCUUAUUGUGUAUUACGUAAUUGUGUAUAUUCGGCCAAAAAGGGUAGUAUACCUAGAAAGAGGUUAUAUGAGAAUUCGUAAGAUAGACUUUUAAUUUGGUUGGUCAGGUAUGUGAUAAAUACUUGUACAUGUUAGACCCAUCAGAAUUAAAUCAUGAUUUUAAAGUGAAAAGCAAAUAUGAAAAUGCCAUAUGAAUAUGUGAGUAUUCGGUUAUGGAGAUACUAUAGGAUAUUGGGAGAUGUACAUUUUGAUUUGUCCGAUGAGGAUAACUAUAGAUAUGAAAUGAAAUGUUAUAUGUGAAUCAAAUAAACCAAUUGGUUAUAUUUAAGUUCACUGGUUUUAAACUGCUUAAGACUUACGAAGCUUACAAAAGCUUACUCUGUUGUUAUGUUUCUCUGUUUUAUAGAUUGUUGAUUCUGGACUUUUUGCUCGGGGAUCAUCAGCAACUUGUCACACUAUCACUAUCCACUGUUUGGUACUGCUAGGUUUUGGAUUAUCUUAUGGCAUGUAUAGAAUAGACUAGUAGUGGGAGGAUAUUUUGGUCAAUGUAUAUAAGCCAUGCGAAUACGACAUCUUUUGAAUGUUUACUUUUAUAAGUUUUUUUUUAAUUUUAUCACUGGUUGUGUCUAGCAAUUAUCUAAUUGAAUGAUCUUUACUUCAAGAAAAUGUUCAAAAUUUUACUGAUCUGGCAUGAGUUACAAGUCCGGUAACAGUUACGGGAUAGGGGUGUUACAAAAGAAGCUCUCUGUUUUGUUUUGUUUUUUUUUUAAAUGGGGGGCUGGAAAUGAAAUUUAAAAAAAAAACUUGGUUUAAAUAAUAAAGUCAAAACGGCGCCGUUUAGAGAACUAGGUUUAGAGGCCAAAACGACUUCAUUUUGGGCCUCUAACCCGUGCGACCCGACCCGCACCCACGGAGGAUCCGCGCAUUUUGACAGAAUGGUCUAUUUGCGCAUUGGAUCCCUCCGCUUUCUUAGCACGUUUUAAUGUGGUCCUGUGCCACCUUUUUAUUUCGAUUUUUUCCCCAUAAUUUUGUCUCUAUUUCAACUUGGUCCUCGGGCCAUUUGCAGAGGCAGACCUUGAAACGCUACGCAUAAAGGUGUUGGGAAUAUUUCCCAAUCAGUCCCUCAAGGUUGCAGCUCAUUUUAAAUCGGUCCGUUGCUUCAUUUUUUUUGCCCAAAUUUUCCCUUUAAUCUUAUUUAAAUUUUGAUUUCGUCCUUUUCAAAUGCUUGCAUUAUUUUAUUCGAAUUUGGACCCUUGAUUUUCAUUUUAUUUGUAAUCUAACCCUUUUUCAUAUAAAUUUGGACUCUUUUUUAUUAUUAGUUAUUUUAGACUAUUUUAUUUAUUUUAAAUUUCAUAUAUUGAACUUUUUUAAAUUGUUUUAGAUACAUUAUUUUAAAUUAUUUCAUAUACUAUACACUUUAAAUUGUUUUGUACAUUGUUUAUUUUAAAUUUGUUUAAUGUAUUAUCCAUUUUAAAUUGUUUUAUUAUUUACUUUAAAUUUUUUCAUGUAUUAUUAAUUUCAAUUUUUUUAUAUGUUUAUCUAUUUUUUUUAUAUCCCAUUUUUUUUAAAAUGCUUUGUAUAUUACUUAUUUUAAAUUCCUUUCUUGAUAAUAUUUACUUUAAACUCAUUUAUAUAUUAUUUAUCUUAUAUUAGUUUACAUAUCAUUUUUUUAAAAAAAAAAUUCUCAUAUAUUAUUUAUUUCAAAUUUUCACCUAUAUUACCUAUUUUAAAAUUUCUUAUACAUAUAUUCUAUUUUUAAAUUGUUUUGUACAUUGUUGAUAUUAAAUUUCUUUUUUUACAUUAAUUAUUUUAAAUUCAUUUCUUAUCAUUUUAAAAUUUAUUUUACCUUUUAUUCAUUUUAAUUUGCUUUAUAAAAUUUUGUAAAAUUGUUAUGUAUUAUUUAAUUCAUUUAUCUUUGAUUAUUAAUGAUUAAUAUUUAAAUAAUGUAUGUUGUGUGAUUAUUACCAUUGUGUAUUUUAAUUCAUUUAUUUCAUAUUUUUGCAUUAUUGUUAUUCAUUCGUAUAAUGUUGUGUUCAUGUAUCCUUGCUCUAGACUCAUUACUAUAUUUCUAUUUCAUAUCAUCGCCUCAUGAAUCUAGCCUCGUUGCAUUUAUCCAAUAAAUCGUUUUAUUUUAAUCCAAACAAAUAAUACCACGUCGUUUAAAUAUCAGAUUCGCUAUUAUUCAAAAGCAAAAAUUUCAAAAUAAGGCAAUGUUUUGCGUUUUGGAACGUCGAGGAAUUGUGCCCUAACUUACGAGGUUUCGGUUCUCUCGUUGAUUCUAAAUAGCCAAAUAUCCUUUUGAGAUUUAAAAUACACGGAAUUUCAAUUAAAAUUAAAGACAACUUUGCGCUCGGGAGUUCAUGGUAUUGUGUCCUAACUUACGGGAUAUAAUACUCCGAUAUCUCGAGACAAGGAAAUCUUUAACAAUCAUUUUGAGCUAAUUCAAGCCUUUUAAAAUCGACAUUAACAAAGAAGAUCGUAUUUUAAAUCUCUUCCCUUCUCGAUUUUCAACUUUCGAUAUUAAGACAAUAACUAAUCAAUUCGGUACCGAUUUUAGGCGUGACGAGGGUGUUAACCCUUCCUCGCACGUAAUCGACUCCCGAACCCAUUCUCUUAAGUUUCGUAGACCAAAAAACUUCGUUUUAAUAAACUAAAACGCUUUAUUAAAACAAGGGUGAUCCGAUCACACCUAAUAAAGAUCGGUGGCGACUCCCAUUUUAAUUUUCAUUUUUAAACAAAGUCGAUUCUCGUUUUCAAAAAAAUGGUUUCGACAAUAUUUAAUUAAUAUUAUUACUUCAUUUAAAUGAAUCCUUGCAGAGAAACACAAAUUAACUGCUAAGAAUUUGGCUUCGUUGUAACACAAGAGAUUAGGUUAUAUCUCAAAAAGGAGAACUGAGAGACUUGUGUCCAACAAUAUUUUUGAUCUCUUUGAUUUUUUUUCGAGUACUCUAAAAGAUAUAAAGGUUACAAAUUUUAUGAUCUUACUACUAAGGUUAUUUUUAAGAUAGAUAAUGCUCGUUCUUUGAUGAUGUUGAGUUUGUAGGGGAAGAGAGAAUUAAAGACAUUGUAUUUAAAGAAGAAUAUGUUGAUAUUCCUCAACGCAUUCUUUUAAUUGUUAUUGAUAAAGAUCAUGAACACUUUGUUAUACCUGAUAUUGUUCAAGUAGCAAAUUUGGAUCAAGACAAUGUCAUUGAACCUCCCGGUCAAGUAACAAACUCUACAACGUCAAGAAUGAAUGUCAUUAAGAAAGCCUACUAAAGAAAGGGUUAUAACGGCUUUAGUGACAUGUUUUGACUUUGAGCUAUAUCAUAUGGAUGUCUAGACUAUGUUUCUCAAUGGCGAUAUUGAUGAGACAAUUUAUAUAAUGCAACCAAAAAGCUUCGCGUUCGAUGAUGUAAAGUCAAUGGUUUUCGAAUUAAAAAAAUUCAUUUAUGGGCUUAAGUAGGCCUUUCGUCAAUGGUAUUACAAUAUUCACCAAGUGAUUAUCUCAUUCGAUUUCGAAAUGGUUUUGAUUAAUGAUUGUAUAUAUCACAAGUUUAGUGGGAGUAAGCAUAGUCUCAAUCAAGACCCCAAGAAUAAUUUUGAAAUUAAGGAAAUGCAUAAGAUUCCCUAGGUUUCAACAGUGGGAAAUCUAAGGUAUGUUCAAGUUUGUACACUUUCAGAUAUUGUAUAUAUUGUUGGAUGUUGAGCAAAUAUUUGAAUAAUUCAGGUAUAGAUAAUUGAAAAGCAACCAAACGAUUCAUACAUUAUAUUCAGAAAAAAAGAUAUUACAUGCUCACAUUCCAAAGAUUUAAUAAGUUAGAAAUCAUCAAGUAUACAAACUUUGAUUUUAUGAUAUAUGGAUACAAAAUAUUUUUACAAAGGUGCAAAAUAAAAAUAUAUAUUAUAUGAAAGAGAAACACUUGUAUUGUAAAAAAGUGUCAAUUUCUUUAACUUUUUACAUAAUUCUUCAGAGUUUCUGUAUUUGAAUAAAUUCAUAAGCAAGCUUAUAGUUUAAAGUUAUUUAUGUACAAUAAUAUACUGUUAUUUAAUAUUUACAUUAUAAGAUAUAAUAUUUAUAUAAUAUUAUAUUAUAUCAUAUAUAUUAUAUAUUACAAGGUUCUGGAUAAUUAAGGAAAUAAAUAUAAUGUUUACAAUAUAAUUUUUUUAAGAUAUAUGUUAGGUCCAAAAAUAUCAAGAAAUGAGUAAAUUGGUAUUUUAAAAUUCUUUUCAAACUUUUCUAAAUGAUAAGGAAAUGAAAGAAAAACUUGGAUUUAGUGGUUCUGUUCCAAUUGCCUACUUCCACUAUCUUGGUAUACCUUAACGAAGAAUUUCCCAAUUCACUAUACUUGAAUACUUUUCUCUUGAUUUUGAUGCUUGAAUAUUUGUCUCUUGAGUCUUGAAGUGUAUUUAUACCAAGAAACAAAUUUUUCAAUGUUUGUUGCCAUUGGGGAUGAAAUCUAGCCGUUGGAAGUAUUAAUUUUGGGCUUAAAAAUUAUCCUUAUACGUCACGUCUCAAGACCUAGCAAGAUGUCUUGAGGCAAGGUUGAAAAAUAGUCGUCAUAUAACUGUUGGCAGGCCAUGUCUUGAGACAUUAAUAGUGUGUCUCAAGACAAUCUACCAAUUGUCUCUAGACAUAUUGCACAAUGCCUCAAGACAGGUAGCCCUUGAAGUAGGUUUUUGCUUCGAAGUUUUCAUGUCUUGAGAUGUAUAAUUGUAUGUCUCGAGACUUGCAUACCAAAGUCUCUUAAAAAUAUUUUAAACACCUUAGAAUACUUUGGUAUUAACCCAAAAACAUUUAGAUAAAUUAAAAACAUUUAAAAUAUGUUUUUGAGUAUUUUACAAGUCUUUAAAAAUAAUUUGAAAAUGUAUAAUACAAUUUUCAAUCAUAUUUUCACCAAAUAAUUUAGGACAAAUAAUAUAUAUAAUUUAUCUUAAAUGUUAUUAUAUCAAAAGCUUGGGACUUCAGAGCUAACAAUAUAGUAGUCUCCAUCUCAAGCACUUAUAUUAUCAAUCUCACAUUGACUAUAAAACACUUGCAUAUCUCGUACUUACACUAUAAGUUUCUUCACAAUUUACAUAAUUUAUUUAAAAUUUUUUCAUUUGAAGAAAUUUAUAAAUUAAGUUUAUAAUUUAAAUUUAUUCAUAUAUUAUUUAUAUAUUUUUAUUUAGUAUUCAUAUUAUAUUAUAAAAACAUUAGUUCAAGCCCACUUAACUGACUAAUGUAUGGUUUUCUUAGUCUCUCCGAAGACAUUCAUGUCGAUAGUCACGACAGAUAUUUCCAUGAUUUCACCUUGCUUUUAGCUUUUCGACCUCCUUGGUGCUCCUCUUCAGCUUUUUGACGUCCCUCUAAUGAUGGUGGCUAAUGUAAGUAGCUAGGGUUUGGUUAUUUCUGAUAUUGUUUGUAGGGUUUGUGUUUGCUGAGGUUGACUAAGUGUGAGUAUUCAAUCAAGUUGAGUUGAAUAGAGUUAAAAAAUUUCAAUUUAAUCUAGUUAAUGAAUCUUAUUUUAGUAACCGAACUCAAUUUGAAAUUUUUUCGAAUCGAAUUGAGUCAAGUCAAGUCGAGUUGAGUGAACGAAUCCUAUUAUUUACAUUUAAUGUUGCAUUUACAUGGACCGAUUAUUUAAUUAAUAGACGAAGUACAAGAUUAUUUAACUACAUAAAAAAUAUAAUAGUUUUACUUUUUAACUUAAUGGGUAAACAUUUAUCAAAAUGGCGUAAUUUUGCCUUUUAAUUGAAUGGUUUGAAGUUUUAACUUUAAGAAAGGUAAACAUUUAUCAAAACAACGUAGUUUUGCCUUUUCUUAUUCGAAUUUUCUAAAAACUGGAAUUAUGUAAUUCAUAUUCAAGUUAAACCAAAUAUUUUGAUUUUUUAUUUGAUUUGAUCCAAAUAACUCAAACAACUCGAACUAUUUAAUUUAAAAUUUAAAUUUUUUUCUCAAGUUUUUAAAUUGAAUCAAAUUUUACUCACCCAUAAGUUGAGCUAUAGUCCAUUUCAAGCCUUUCAACUUCUUACUUUGUUUUUUGGGGGCUUUUUGUAGGCCUUUUUUAUGUCUGUAUAUGUUCUUUUCUUUAAUGAAAUCUUCGUAUUGAGCAAGAAAAAGAGCAUGCCAAAUCCCAAGUAAAAAGAAAAACCAAACUUUGUGUAUAACUAUAAAUUUAUUUAGAAAGUAUACAUGUAUAAUAUAUAGAUGAUAACAAUAAAAUCACUCAAAACAAACAUAUAUAAAUAAUCUGGUCUACAAGUAAUCCAUGAAAUGAAUUUAAAUAUGCUAAUCAACACACUCUUAUAAGAAGAAUAUCUAAAAAUCAUAUGUUUAUUGUCGAGGGAAAACAAACAUAGUACCAUGAUUCAAUGUUUUGGCACGAUAGGCAAAUCAGGCAACUUAAGGCAGUUCUUGUUUAGGUGUUUCCGGCUUUGGUAGAUUGGGUAACUUAGGUAGUUCUGGUUUGGGUAGCUCUGGAACUUUGGGUUCUUCGGGUUUAGGCAUGCUAGGCAAUUCAGGAACUUUAGGUAAUUCAGGUUUUGGCAACUCAGGAGUUUUGGGCAAUUCUGGUUUCGGUACCUCUGGAACUUUAGGCAAUUCUGGUUUUGUUAACCCGGGAAUUUUAGGUAAUUGAGGUUUUGGUAAUUCAGGAGCUUUUGGCAAUUCUGGCUUAGGCACCUCAGGAACUUUUGGUAAUUCAGGUUUUGGCAACUCAGUCACUUUGGGCAAUUCUGGUUUUGGUACCUCAGGAAUUUUAGGCAAUUCUGGUUUUGUUAACUCAGGAAUUUUUGGCAAUUCAGGAGCUUUGGGCAAUUCUGGCUUAGGCACUUCAGGAACUUUAGGCAAUUCUGGCUUUGGUAACUCAGGAACUUUUGGUGAUUCAAGUUUUGGCAACUCGGGAGCUUUGGGUAAUUCAGGCUUGGGCACUUCAGGAGCUUUGGGCAAUUCCGACUUAGGUACCUCAGGAACUUUAGGCAAUUCUGGCUUUGGUAACUCAGGAACUUUUGGUAAUUCAGGAUUUGGCAACUCGGGAGCUUUGGGUAAUUCAGGCUUGGGCACUUCAGGAACUUUAGGAAAUUCUAGAUUUGGUAACUCCGGAACUUUUGGUGCUUCAGAUUUUGACAAUUUAGGAGCAUUGGGCAUCUCUGGAACUUUGACUUCUUCAGGUUUUUUCAACUCGGGAAUCUUAGGAAAUUCAGGCUUUGGCAACUCUGGCACUUUCGGAAACUCAGGAACCUUGGGUAAUUCCGGUUUUGGCAACUCUGGAACUUUCGAAAACUCGGGAACCUUAGGCAAUUCAGGCUUUGGCAACUCUGGAACUUUAGGCAAUUCAGGUUUUGGCAACUCAGGCAUUUUAGGUAUUUCAGGUUUUGGGAUUUCUGGC
rnacentral:lncRNA from 1 species